UAUAAAAAAAAAUUAAGUACUCAAUAAAUCAAAUAUAUUUUAAUAGAUAUCAAUUGAAAAUACAGGAAUUUGAAAUUUAAUUAAACAAAAAAAAUCAUAGUAAAAUUAAAAUCAUAACACAACUAAAUAGAUAUAAACUAAUAUUUUAAUUAAAUAUAAAUAUAUUUUAUAUAUAAAUAAAUGCAACCAUUACUACUAACAAGACAUAACAAACAUCCACAUAUAAUAUAAUGAAUAUAUGCAAUGUUUAAAUUCAAGACUAUACUAAAAAGAAAUACGCUAGAAAUGUUUACACUUCUUCUUGAGAAUUGGUAAUUCUCACUUUCAACUAACUAUAUGAAUUGAUUAUUCACCCUAUGAUAUUUUGUUUGGAUGUUUCUUAAUUAAUCUCUUAAUUUAAUAUUUAGAUCACAUAUAGAUAAUAUUUCCAUGAUAAUGAUGAUUGACAAGUAUAAAAACAUCAUAAUUAUAAUCAAUAAUCAAUGCACAAACACAAUGAUCAAUCAAUCACAUUAAAAACUUAAUGACUUAUAAUCAAUCACACUAUUCACAAUUUAUCGUCAUUAAAACACAUUAUAUCUCACAUCAUCAAAUAAUCUCUUUAAAAAAUUUCAAUCAUUUUUAUUUUAUAAAAAUAAAUUAAAGAUAUUAUUUUGAAAGAAAAUUAUUUCGUUGAUUCAGUCAAUUGAGGAGAAAAAAUUAAGAAAAUAUUUUGAUUGCUUCAGUUCUCAAUUUGGACAUGUUCUAAUUUUAUUGGUAAAUUUAACAAGUAUUCUAAGCGAUUUAAAAUUCACUGAACUAAUCAAGAUUUGAUAAUAUAUUUCCUCUUUUAAUGAGAUCCAAAAUCAAGAGUUAUACCUAAUCUUUCCAAAGAAACUUCAAAUCAUAACUUAAUCAAUUCUCUCAAAUAAAAUUAUUUGAAUUAACAUUUUAUAAAAUGAGAAAUUCUAAUGCAGGUUCUAUUUUAUAAUUUGGACCACAGUUCAAAAUUUUACUUUAGAAUUAACAUUUUAUGCUUUAAAACUUUUGGAAAUAACAUUAUAUAUAUGUUAGGUGAGUUCUAUAUGACUAGACUUAAAAGAAAAUGUGAAAAAUAAACUUUGGUGUGUUAUUUAAAUUUAAUAAAAUUUAUAUUAAUACAUUGAUUGUAUUUAUUAAUAAAAAUCAAGUAUGGAGAACAACUUUGUUUCAUAGAAUGCAUCAAAAUAAAUUUCAAGACUAAUUCAAGAAAAAUUAUCAAAACCAACAUAUACAUAACAAGUUUGUUUUAUAUGAAAUAAUAAGAAGGUUUAUUCAAACAUAGUAUCAAAACAUUUAAAUUAGUAACUUAUCUAUAUAACUACAUUUAAUAUAUGGUUAUCAAAACACAGGAAAAUAUAUUAAUGGUAAUUUUUCCUUUUUAUAGUAUCAAAUUAACAAACAGCUUUGCCCAAUGUUUAAAUCAAGAAUGUUUUUUCAGUUAGAAAAUUAAUAAUUAAUCAUAUUUCAGUUUUUCAACUAUUUCAGGAAACCAAGUACAUUACUCAACAUCAAAUCUUCCAAAAUAUUAACUGUCCAUUCCUCUAAAUUUAUUAACAUAUUUAUUAUUCCUCUAAAUUUUACUACGUAGAAUUUUUUUUAUCUAAAUUAAAUUUUAAUAUUUUAAUUAUUUAUAGUUAUAUAUAACUUUAUAAAGACUUUUAGUUAUAUAAAUAUAAACCUUAAUUCAUUUAUAAAUUUAUUUUUUAAUAACUUAAUACUAUUAAAAAAUCAUUAAAUAGAAACUAAUUUUAGAGAUUAAAAAUAAUUAGUUGUUAUAUUUACUUAAUUGGAACUAAAAAAAUUAUUAAUUUCUAAAUUAGUUUCUAUUAUUGAUAAAUAGUUUAUAAAUUAGUAUUUAAUUAGGUACCAAAGUUUAUAGUAAUAUGAUAGAAUUAAUUUGUUUUUCAAUGAAGUAAUUUGGGAAACCAACCAAUCACUAAAUUUUUAGAAUUUGAAAGUUGGUAACUUAAUUCAGUUUCUUAAAAAGGUUCUGUAUUACUUUAUUUAUAAAGUUUUUGAAUAUCAGUUUCGGCAUUUAUUAAAUUAACCGAAUUAGAAUUUUUUUUUUCAUUUUUUUAAAAAAUUGGCAUUCUAUAUUUUAUAAAUUUGUAUUUAUGUAUAACCUAUAAUCUAUAACAGUAUAUAAUAAUUAUGUAAAAAAUGAAAAUAAUUAAAUAAAUAAAAACAUUAUGGAUGAAAAAAAAACAGAAAAAAAAACUAAAAGUAACUAGAGUAGUUAGGUACCAUCUUAAAUAAAAUAAAAAUCAAUAAAUAUUAAUUUAUUAAGGUGUGAAUGGUAUGUUUGUAGUGUUAAAGAUAAUAUAUCACCAAAACCUUAAGGGGCUGAAUUUGAAUUAUAAAUUACCCACCAAAAACCUGUUUCUUUCAGUUGCUUUCUUCUCUGCAUUCUCUCUGUUCUCUGCAUUCUCCAUUCUCCAUUGUAAGGUUAUUCUAAGGUUACAGUGUGAAGCCAUGGCCCAAAUUUCUUCUCCUGCAAUCGCCACUCAGCACACACUUCCAGUCUCACCAAUGCUUAAUGUUCUUGUCAUUGACAGUGACCUCAGUGUUCUUGAAUACAUCACCAAAGCAUGCACCCACUCUUCUUAUCAAGGUAAUAUUCUACUCAUAACUAUUUCUGAAAAAGAAAGAUUCAUUCUUUUUUGUUAUGUUGACGUUUGUUUUUGAGUUUUGUGCAGUUAUACCAUGCUCUGAAUCUCUGCCUGCUGCCAAUUUUUUGCGGGAAAGAAAGGAGCUCAUUCAUCUCAUACUCAUUGAGGUUCACAUGCCAUUGAUGGAUGGCUAUGAAUUCCUGCAAUUCGUCAAACAAGAACAGAUCAAUGUUCCUCUCGUCUGUAUGUAACACUUGUUUAUAUUUUCACUCAAGUUUUCAUUCAUAAAGAAUAAUUUUAAUGAAGUGUUUGUAAUUUGCAGUGAUGUCCACGGAUAAUAAUAAUGCUUCUGUGAUGAAGGCCAUUGAAGUUGGAGCUUGUGAUUAUUGGAACAAACCCUUGGAGGAGAAAAGGAUCGUGAAUAUGUGGGCAUAUGUUCUGAAGAGCAGCACGAGUGAGGAUACGAAGCAAAAAGAUAUUGGUAGCCAGAAAGAUGAUGACAGAAGAAGAGUGAAGAGUGAUAAUUCUGAAUUUGCUUCAUCUGUUGUUGAUUUUGAUGUUGGUGAAUCAAAGAAUGCUAAUCCACCCUCAAGAAAGAAGAAGCGCAUAGUAUGGUCAACAGAACUGCAUGAGUUGUUUCUCAUUGCCAUGGACAAAGCUGGAGGGGAAGGUAUGACUCUUCCACAAUUCUUUCUCUCUGUUCUUCAAUAUCUGUAUUUCUUUCUUUGGUGGUAUUCACAGUUUUGUUUUUAUUGCUUGAUUAUUUUCUUUCAGAUGCCGUGCCCAAGAAAAUUCUUGAAGCUAUGAACGUUCCAGGUUUGGAAAGAGGACACGUUGCAAGUCAUCUGCAGGUUAGUUUCUACCUUCAAUUGAUGUUAUAGUUUCAUAGUGGUUGAGUUAUUGUGAUUGAAGUGAAUUUUUGAUUGGCAGAAACACAGAAAAUAUUUGAGAAAGAAGAAAGAGAUGGAGAUGUCAUUGGCUUCAGGGAACACAGAACCUGAAAGAAUCCACUUGCAAUCUUCUACUUCACUCACAGAUUUUCAUCAUCCUGGUUUCACAGGCAACAUGGGACCAAAAGGAGAGCAACAUUUUCCUGCAGAAGAAGCUUUGGCACAUCAUCAAAAUUCUCCUUUAGCAACCUUUUCCAACAUGGCCAUGGCUGAGAAUUCUCCACUGUUCAUGAGAAAUAUUAUGCAGCAGUAUCAUCAUCAAAUUCAUCCAUUCAACUUUCACUCAUCUUCCAUCACAAUUUCCGGAAAUCCAGCUUUUGUUCCCCAGAAUUACAACUCUGGCAUCAACAUGAAUAAUGGGUUAACAUCACUCCAAUCAAUCCAAGGUGGAAACAGCAUAGGUGAAGUGAUUCAGAAUCAAGAUACUACUGGAGCUUCUGUUUAUUACCCACAAAGUCAAAAUGCAGGUUUGUCAAGUUAUGCUGUGAGAUAUUCUGAUGCAACUGAGUUCAGCAGCCAAAGUCUCUCCACAGAUAUUGAUAAUGCAACAACUGAGGAGCAGCUAAUUCUAUUAACAAUGGAUGAAAGCAUCACAAGGCCUGCGUCUUAAUCUUCUCAUUCUUCACUUAAUUGAAUAUUAGGAAAGUUUGUAACUUACUUCUGACAGUCUGCAGUAUUUUUCUUUAUGAAUGUGUGAUUAGUUUAUCUCAGUGUUGACCUUUCUCUCUGUAUAUGGAGAAUAUUUAGGGUUUGGUUGCAUAGUUGCUAAAAUUGUACUGUUUGAAUGAUAGAUGUUAUGUUUAUAGUAGGUUAUUGUUAUCAUAAAUUAUACUAAGCAUCAGUUUUAUAUUUGCAUGUUGUGAGAUUCAAUUUCGUUUGAGUAGUUAGAAAAAAUAUUGAGAAUAUAAAUGGAAAGAGAUAAAAGAUAACAUAAUUUCUCUUGUUAUCAUAAAUUUUGUUGUUUGAGAAUAUAAGAAAGAAAAAAACUAAAAUGAUUAAAAAAUUAAAAUUCAGAGAAAAUAAAAACAUACAGAAUUUCUGUUAUUUUCUUAUUUUCUUAUCAUAAACUUUUGUUGUUUUCAAAAUAUAAUAAAUAAUUAAGUAAAUAGUUUUUAAUUGAUUGUAUAACUAAUAUUAGUAGUAGUUAAUACUUUAAAUAUUAGAAAAAUACAAGUUUUCCUUGGUUUAUAUUUCUACUUUUUUAAUAAUUUUUCAUUAAAAUUUAAUUUAGAUACAGAUAUUACGUGUAGUAGAUUGAAGGUGUGAAAUAUGAGCAGAAACUGAACAUUAUUUAUUUAUAUUUAUAAAUAUUUUCAAAACUAAUCACUUGUAGAUUUAAUUGGUUUAAUGUAAAAGAUAAAUUUCAAAAAUAUUAAGUGUUACAAAGAAAUAAGUGAAGUGCAGAAAGAAACUACCAUGGAUCACGUGGGCCUAGAAGGCCCAAUAGCUUGCAUGUUUUCUUCCUCAAAAAUUUCCCUUCCAUGUAAAACCUACACAAUUUUCGCCAUUGCUGAUGGGAGCUUCAACUGUUGUGCCAAAAUAAAAUUGAGGUAACUAAGUUCUUCUAUUAAUGUUUCUUUCUUCUAUUAAUGUUUGUUGAAAACUUUUUGCAAAGUGAAUCGUUUUAGAAUAAAAGCAGACAAAUCAGUUUUGUUUAUUCAUAUUAGUUUUGGUUUUAUAGAACUUCCCUUGGAACUGUUUCCAUUUUUUUAUAUGAAAUUGUUCGACUUUUAUAUAACUACUGUUUUUUGGGCGUUUCUUUUUAUACCCUACAUUUUUCUUCCUGCACCCCAAGAUUUUUUAAAAUGCUAAAAUUAAUCUUGCUACUUUUAUUUGAAAAGGUACCGUUAAAGGGUUUAUAGGUUUCCAGAAUGUGGGUUUCGCGAAAUUCAUGGUGGAUAUUGAAUGCAUUUUUCUUUACUUAUGGAAUGUAUUUGUUAAACUUCAUUCCUAAUCAAUUUUAGGAUUCAUUGGAAAAUAAAAACAUAAACAUUCUUAUGCAAUCGCUAAAACUUGGUUUUCAUAUGUAGUUAUGAGGUUGUAAUCGAAUUCAUAAAUUAAUAUGUACACAUAUAUUGUGACUAUUAUAAAUGCAGAAGAACAAAUUCACUCAUGAUUGUGUAAGAACUAAUUUCAUCACGUUUUAAAAUAAUAAUAUAAACAAUGUGUAGCUUCAUCAAAUUAAAAAACAAAAAUGCAACUAAAAACAUAAAAUAUAUAAAUAAUCACCAUCGUCCAUGUCAUUGUUUAUAUACAUACACGCACAUCAUACAAAUGGGUCACAUGAUUUUUAUAAGUUGUCAACAAUAACCCAUUCAGUUUAAUAUUAUACUUCGGGUGUUUCUUCUACAUCCCAUUAAUAUUCUACAAUCUAGUGGACGAGUCAUAGUUGACUGCUUAUUGAUUUAUGAAUUCGAUUACAAUCUCAUAACUAUAUAUAAAGAUCAAACUUUGGCGAUUGGAUAUAAAUGUUUAUGUUUAUGUUUUUCAAUAAGUCUUAAAAUUGAUUAAUAAUGAAGUUCAACAAAUCCUUCGACACUGUACAUACUUCUACAAAUUAACAUCUUAUCAUGAAAUUUUAAUAAAUUAUUGAAAACCACAACCAAACAUCAAAAGUUAAAAAAUGCAUUCGAGAUCCAUCAAUCCAUAAGUCAAAAAAAUGCAUUCCGAAUCUAAUUCAUAAGUAAAGAAAUACAUUUUGGAUUCACCAAUCCAUAAGUAAAAAAAAAUGCAUUCCAAAUCUAUCAAUCCAUAAGUCAAAAGAAAUGUAUUCCAUAUUCACCAACCCAUAAAUAUUCUAGAACCCAAUUUCCAAAAAUCUAUAAACACCUCUUUUCAAAUAAAUAUGAUAAGGCUAGUUUUGGUACUCUAAAAUGCAGUGGUGUAGGAAAAAAAAUGUUGGGUGCAGAAGAAACGACCUGUUGUUUUUUUCCUUGUGCCUUUUUUACUUGGAUUUUGAAAAGUGUGAUUGUUUUAAUUUUUGUUUUCUCUUAAUCAUUCUAGCGUACAAGUUAAAAUAUUAAUUACAUAAAUAAACUUGAAACAUAAGCAUUUACUAAAAAAACAUUGUUUUGAAAAACUAAUUCAUUCUUUUAUAUUUUAAGUAUGGAUGGUUAUCCUUAGUUACUAAAUAAAUAUUUUGCAUCCUAUUUUUUGUUUCUUGAAAUUUAUUUUUAGUAUUUACUUUUUGUUUUUUUAAACAUUAAUUUUGUUAUUCUAAACGAUGCGUUUCAGGGUUUAAGGCUGACACUGGGUUAUCACCAUCUUUGUCUUCCUCAUUCAUCCUUGGCCAAGAACGCAGAUUAGUCAUCACUGUGGGUGAGCACCCAGCAGAUUGGGAAAAUAAUAUGCAAAUUUUGAGCACAAUUUUUCUUCGUUGUUGAGAACAGGACAACAUUUGUGGGUGCGAAUUUUGAUUUCUAAGGUUAUUUUGCUACUUCAUCUUUUCUAAUAACUCCCGAAAUGGCUUCUGCAAUAUUCAGAAGCCUUCAAGUUCACCCCUUUCUGCUUUAUCCAACAACAUUACUCAGACGAAGAAAUGGGGUUUAUCAUUUGACGACGAAAGCCACACAAUCCCAAACAGACACCCAACCGCGGCAACCUCAGACCAAGGUUUCAACAAGCAGCACCCAGUCCAAAAAACUUGACAAAAUUCCAAAAAACUAUGAAGCCAUCAUUGGCAUUGAAACACAUGUUCAGCUCUCCACUCUGACCAAAGCCUUCUGUGGUUGCCCUUACCAUUAUGGUUCUCCACCCAACAGCAGCAUUUGCCCCAUUUGCAUGGGCUUGCCUGGUGCUUUGCCUGUUUUGAACUCCAAAGUCAUUGAGUUUGCUGUCAAGUUGGGCCUUGCUCUUAACUGCAACUUGGCUUUCAACUCCAAGUUUGAUAGGAAGCAGUAUUUCUACCCCGACCUUCCAAAAGGGUAUCAAAUUUCUCAGUUUGAUGUGCCAAUUGCUUCAGCUGGUUUUGUUGAUGUGGAUAUUCCAGUUGAGUUUGGUGGGGGCCACAAGAGGUUUGGCAUUACAAGGGUUCACAUGGAAGAGGAUGCAGGAAAGCUGCUACAUGCAGAGAAUGGAAAUUACUCACAGGUUUUGUUUCUUUACCAUUAUUUCAGUUUGCAAGUUGCAAUCUUAUUUAGCUUCUGUUUGGAUAAAUCUUCUUUGUAAGUACUUAUAAGAGGGGGGAAAUAAGAUAAAAUGAAUUUUUUAACUUAAUUUAUAAGUUAAAUAUUGUCUUAUGCAGAAUUUGAAAUCAACUUGUGAUGAAACUAAGAGAGAAGUUCUAGAAUAACCUGUUUAUUAAUUAAUUUUAACUUAAGAAAAAAUUUAAGUUAUAUUACUUUCUUAUUUUCUUCUCUUGUAUACAUUAAUAUUGGGAAGUUCAUUCAAACGUAACCUUAAUAUGUUUAUUUUAUAUGUUUUAUUUUAUAUCCAAGUUUAAGGAACCCUUUCAUUGUGUACCAUUUGACAGACUGAAUUUAUGUUUACCUGGGCAAAUCUUUGUACUGGAUCAAUUUUGACAUAUUUCUUUGAUGAAUAAUUCUUAUUUUGAAACACAUUUAAUAGUCAGUUCCAUUCAUCCUCCACUCAUUGACAUGAAUUAAUUACCAAAGAUUGUUAAAGUUAGAGGUGUUUCAUCACAGGUUGAUCUUAAUAGGGCAGGGGUACCUUUGCUUGAGAUAGUUUCUGAGCCUGAUAUGAGAAAUGGUAUUGAAGCAGCAGAAUAUGCUGCAGAAAUACAGAGGUUGGUGCGGUAUUUGGGAGUGAGCAAUGGCAAUAUGCAAGAAGGUUCUCUUCGUUGUGAUGUAAAUGUAUCAAUACGACCUAUUGGGCAAUCAAAGUUUGGGACUAAGGUAUCUAGCUAUUUCUUCUAUAUAAAUAGUUAAAGGAUUUUUAAACACCAAUUAUUGGACUUCUGAAAUUGGCACUUUGUUAAAUUGUUAGGAAGCUUGUCAAAAUUGCAUGUUGUUUGUUGAUACUCGCCAAUGUUAUCCCUACUCUAAUUAGUCAUUGUUACGAGAGAAUCUUGGUUCGAGUUGAGUUUUCUCCCUGCAAUCAUAAGAAUGGAAGAUAUUAAGAAUAUAGUUUACAGUUAAUCUUGUACUACCAGACAUAAAAAUAUUCUUUUCAACAAAACAAACUCAGAAUGAGUUUUUGGGUGUCAAUUCUUGAUCAGUUCUGUUUGAACCAAAGCGUAGCUUGUUUGAGCAUGAUGAUAUUUUUGGGUACUCCCCCUCUCUACCUUUUUUAAAUAUAUAAGAGAUGGAAUGUGCUACACUUAACUCCAUUAUAAUGUAAAUGAAAUUGGCGAGCAAUUCUUAACAAGCUUUCCAUGGGGUAUAUUCACUCUCAGAGAGAUGAGUGUGAUUUAGCCUUACAUCUUUAAAAACCAUUUGUCGAAAGACCUUUUUGUUUUGAUGUCUUGUGAAAUAGUUGUCUUUGUAAGCAAUAAAACAAAAUGUAAAAUUUUAGGUUUUACUUACCUUGAUUGCAUGCCAUAUUCUCAAUAAAUGUAUGCAAUUACUUUACUUUCUUCUACUUAGGUAGUUGUCUGUAGUCCGAAAUUAUCAAUGUGGUUUUCUGUUCUGUAGGAAAACAAUUACUUGCACAGAAUUUUGGGUUUCUAUAAAUUAACCUCAAAGAAUGAAAUAAAGAGUAAUUGCUACAAGCAGUUCUCUCGUGGAUGAGAAAAUUGAGUAUGAUCAUAUUAUUGCAAAAUCCUAUUAAAAAAAAUGGCCUGGUCCUUGCCUUGCAGGAAUGAAAUGCCAAAGUCUCCUACGUUUUAUUGCAGUGCAGUAUGAACGCAUACAAUAUAUUACAGAUUUAGCAACUAAUAUGGUCAAUUGUUACUGGCAGGUUGAAAUAAAAAAUUUGAACUCAUUUUCUUCAGUGAGCAGAGCAAUUGAUUUUGAAAUUGCAAGGCAGGUGCAACUCCAUAGUCAAGGCCAGGAAGAUCAGAUAGUACAAGAAACUCGGUUAUGGGAAGAAGGCUCUCAGGUUAGUGCUAUAAUGUGUUCUUAUAUUUUUGUUUAUAUUGUAGUGUAGCAAGUGCAAGAUUGUGUUUUCCUUUUUCUCUCUUCAGACUAGUAUUCAUAAAUAACUUUUGUUAUUCUGUUUAGAGAACAAUUACAAUGAGGAAAAAGGAAGGGCUUGCUGAUUAUCGAUAUUUUCCAGAACCAGACCUGCCGGCAGUAAUUCUUGCUCAGGAAUAUGUUGAUGAUAUAAUAAAGUCUUUACCAGAGCUUCCAGAAAUUAAGCGGAGAAGAUAUGAGCAGAUGGGUUUAAGCAUGCAAGAUGUUCUUUUCCUGGCUAAUGAUAAAAAUGUGAGUUCUCUGUGGUUAUAACACAUUGCAAGACUUGCAUUAAAUAAUAAACCUAAUGAAUGACAACCCUACAUGUGUCAUGUCCAAUAUUUUAGAAAAGCAAGUAAUAUGAAAAAGGAAUGUUUUUAGGCCCAUCCAAUAAAAGUAAAAUUCCUUAGGCUAUCAAAUUGUCACAAGCUGAAAUACAAACUCAAAAGCUGACUAGAUAUUUGCAAACUAUAGUGCUCAUUAAUACAAGUAGGAUCGCAAACACGAUUGACAGUGUUAGAAAGCUAAAUAGUAGAUACCAGUAAAGUGUAUUACAAAAUGGUCUAAUGUGAAUUUUUUCUUCUUCUGAAUUGAUGUAUUAGAUUGCAGAAUUUUUUGAUGCAACUCUUGCAAAAGGUGCUGAUCCAAAGCUAGUUGCCAACUGGAUAAUGAGUGAUAUCGCUGCUUUCAUGAAAAAUGAAAAGUUGACCAUAAACGAAAUAAGGCUUACACCUGAAGAGUUGUCUGAGUUGAUAGCUUCCAUCAAAGGUGGAACCAUUAGUGGCAAGAUUGGAAAGGAGGUAUGUUUGCUCUGGCACUAAUGAGUGGUGCAUAGUACUCCAAGCUUCCUGGAUUCUUACACAAUUUUGAAACAUUAAGCUGCUCUACCUUCUUGUUUCUCACUAAUUUGUUCAUAUACUUUACUACAUUGGGAAGUCAGUUGUGUUAGUAUAUUCUAACUAUGGACCAAGCCAAGUGUGGGAAUUCAUUUAUAAAUAUGUUGAUCUCUGAAGUCUAAUUCGGGCUUUAAUCAUCAUUAAACUUCAAUAUUUUGUUCCUGUCAAAAACAUGUCCUAUUAUUAUGCCUAUAUAUCAAUGUGUCAUGUAAAUAUGGUAAUUAGGAAACUUGGAUCUUUGAUUUAUUACACUCAUUUUGUUACCAUCAAGUUUGAAAUAUAGUUAUGAGACAGUUUUCAGCAUAUGCUUCUCUUUGUUCUCUCCAUGGUUCCAUCCUUAUCUGCAUGCAUGUUUAGACUUUGAAUAAAACUGUCUCAAUGAAGUGGAAAAUUAGAAAAGACAAUUAGGCAGUUGUGGCUGAAUUAUAUAAAUUUGGGCUUAUGUUGCAUUCUGUAUUUUUUCAAUUUGUUCAUUUGUUUGCAGGUGCUAUUUGAGCUAUUAGCCAAGGGAGGAACUGUUAAGGAACUCAUAGAAAAAAAAGACUUGGUUCAGGUAAGUUGUAGGAUUAACCAUUACUGAAGAUUUUACUGCGUUGUGUGUUUUAGACUAAAUUCAGCAAGGGGACAACAUAAAUUCUUUGAUAUUGAAGCAUAAUGUUGCCAGCUUAUGAGUCCAAAUGCAAAUUUAGCAACUAUAUUGGAUUGUUCAGAUUGUGGUGUUUGAGAUUUUAUUGAGUUUUAAUUUUUUUUUCAAAAGAAAAACUUGAAUUGGUCUGAACAUUUAAUGUGAAACCUCUGCUCUGAGGCUGCAUCUUUGGCAUUGGUUGUUGAUGUUGAGAAAGAAUGAAAAAGUUGGAACUGGCUUUUGCCUUUGGAAAUGACAGAUAGUAGAUCCUGUUGAAAUUGAAAAAAUGGUGGAGAAAGUGAUUGCGGAGAAUCCUAAACAAGUGGAGCAAUAUAGAGGAGGCAAAACUAAACUACAAGGUUUUUUCGCGGGCCAGGUAUGUUUUUAGGGGCAGUUGUAGAAGUGGAAGAAAUUUUUUAUGUUUGUCCAAAUCUCAGUAACUUGUGUUUGUCCAAAUGCAGGUAAUGAAAUUAUCUAAAGGCAAGGCAAAUCCUGGUCUCCUAAACAGGAUCCUCCUGGAGAAAUUGAGUUCCAACAGCUGAUGAUAAUAGAUUGUUAUUAUUUCCAACUUGUUAAGUGGUGAUCUUUGAUAAAACUAAUUGGAAAUGACAAGUGAUGCUGAAAAGUUCUUGUGUUGUUCAUUUCUAGCCCAAUUAAUUGGUUCUAUUGGGUACAUAUUUUAGCUGAUUUUUAAAAAUAAACCGUGUAUAUUUUGAGUUCUAAAAGUGGUAUGGUAUAGGAUUUCUGCUUCAACGAUUGAGACACAAGCAUUAUAUGCGAUGCUUUAUAAGGAUAAGUUUUCCAAAAGCAUGUGAUUUAUAUUUACAUUUCCAAUAAAAUUAUGGCUUAAAAGUUUCUUUGCAUAUCUCAUGUAUUUGGAUUAUGUAACGAGUAUAUUUUGGUGUUAUUCUAUUGUCAAAACAAUAUCAAGAGCAUAAAUAUUUGGUUUCAUUAUCAUCCAUAUCCAUAAUUUAGCAAUGUUUUUUGUGAUCUAUAGACUAGUUUCUGUAUUACAAUAUACUUAAGAAUAUAUAUAUAUAUAUAUAUAUAUAUAUAUAUAUUUAAGUAUGAAAAUCAGUAUAUAUUUGUAAAGGCAAACAAGUUCGGGAGUGUUUGGUUAGGCUGUGCAGUGAAGAAAGAAAACUCGUGUAAAUUGUUCACUUGAAAGCUACAUCCUGUCUUAUUUAUCUUUCUACAUUUUUUUUUCAAAUUUUCUUUGUCUUCUCACAAUGCAAUUACGGAUUGUAAGAGAACGAGUGCAAGUUUGAUAAUUUUAUCCCUCUUCUUGAAAUAAAGAUUUAUCUUAAUCAGUAUGAAAUUUUUAUUUUAUUCUUGUCAAAUAAUAAGUAUAUUUAUAUUCAUAUUUAAAUUAGUUUUUUAUUUUUUAUACUAAUAAAGAUUAUAAUACAUUAUCAAAGAAAUUAAAGUAAUCAUAAUAAAAAAAAUAGAAUUGCAUAUUUUUUUCUUUUGAACUUAAAUCUAUGUUGGAUGCUCGUCAAAAGGAUAUUUAUGACAACAAGUUAAUCUAUUAUAGUAAAAGAAAUAAAAGUACAUUUGUUAGAAUGAUUAAGAGAAUAUUUUUUUAAAACUAUCACACUUUUCAAAAUCCAAGUAAAAAAGGCACAAGGAAAACAACAGUAGUUAUAUAAAAGUCGAACAAUUUCAUAUCAAAAAAUGGAAACAGUUCCAAGGGAAGUUCUAUAAAACCAUAACUAAUAUGAACAGAAAAAUUGAUUUGUCUGCUUUUAUUCUAAAAUGAUUCACUUUGCAAAAAGUUUUCAACAAACAUUAAUUAAUACAAGAAAGUAAAAAAGUAAACAACUAAAAAAAUCAAUGCAUGUCAGAGUCUUAUCAAUUUCUGUAAAAGUUACAUAUAACUUAAUUUCAAUUUACAAAAGAAAAACCAUGGUUUUACAACAUUCUAAUAUGCAAAGUUCGAAUUAGUUCUCAAAUUGAUGUCACUUCCUCUUUCGAAUUUUUGUAGUAAAGAUAUCUCUGUAUACAAGCCACCAAAAGAAGGUAUUCUUCAGUAAGUGAAAGUAGUUAUUUGUAAACAAACAUCACAUAAAACUAGUAAAUCUAAUCUAGUUUGGAAAAUGGAGUUGUGGGAGAGGGAAACAUAUGCACUGAACCCUUCCUUUGAGAAGGCCAGAAAAGCUAUACGGAAUCAAUUAGGCUUGACAUAUGUGUUGUCCUCUCUAAACUUGGCGAUUUGACUUCGUAUCAUUAACUCAACAUGAGGUUGGACAAACAUGUGGGUGCUAUCCAACACAUGUAUAAUGAACUUAUCAGAUGCAGGCAUUGAAGCAUUCAUAUUGAUGAUAUAUUGUGCCAUGGGAACGUCACUGCACAACCAAAUUUAGCUAAUCAUCGAUGCAGAUUACACGAGUCAAAGGAAAAAUUGAUUAAAAGUAAACCAAGUCAUGCCCCAUUAGUGACUGUUGUUAACAUAGUUAACUGUUAUAAACCAAAACUUAUAGCAAGAAGUUUUCUACCUGGAGUCCUUAUAGUUAUAGUAGGUAGAAGUUCCAACAAUAGGUAGAUGUAAAAAUAAUGAGUUGAAUAUUACAACUUUGAAAGAGGUGAUACCAGGAAAUGAAGAUUCCUUUAGUGGCAUUGACCAUGGUGCACAAGCUUCCUGCAAAGAAAACUAAGACAACUUACAACAGACACCAUAACAUUCAUCAUCAUCAUCAUCAUCAUCAUCAUUAUAGAUAGUAAUUAAUAACUAGGUUUUUUGAUACAGAGCUAAAAGUGCUUUCCCAAGCUUCUCUCAAUGUACUUAUCCAAACAAGCCAUAGUGUGUUCCUCGUGAUCUUCUGACAACAGAAAUCAUGGUUAUCGAAUCAGAACAUUAAUUUUUCUUUCCUCCAUACAUUGCAAGUCCAAUGAACUACUACGAUCAUAAAUUAACCUAAUCAUUCCCUUAAGAUGAAAUCAAAAGAAUUAUAUGAACUGAACUGAAUAACUUCAAAUUAGGUAUGAAACGAUGCGAUCUUAAAUGAAAACAAUGGAAAAAAGGAUGCAAAAGCUCGGCAUCGUCACACGAAACUUCGUUACCUCAAUUUUAUUUUUCUCCAGAGUUGGCACAACAGCUGAAGCUCCAAUGGCGAAAAUUGUGGGUUUUGCAUCAAAGGGAAAAUUUGGAGAAGAAAACAUGCAAGCUAUUGGGCCUUCCAGGCCCACAUGACACGUAGGAGUUUCUUCCUGCACUCCACUUAUUUCUUUGGAACACUCAUUUCUUUAGAAAAAUAUUUUUGAAAUUUAUCUUUUACAUUAAACCAAUGGUAUCUACAUUUGAAAGUGAUUAUUUUUUAAAAUAUGUAUAAAAAAUAAUAAUAAUUUUGAGGCUCACAUUUCACACCUUCAAUCUGCGUCUAAAUUAAAUUUUAUUGUUUUUUAAAUAUUUGUAGUUAAUAAUUAAAUAGUAGAAAUAUAAACCCAACAAAACUUGUAUUUUUCUAAUAUUUAAAGUAUUAGCUACUACUAAUAUUAGUUAUACAAUAAAUUAAUAACUAUUUACUUAAUCAUUUAUUAUAUUUUGAAAACAAGAUAAAUCAACUUACACAGUAAUAAUCAUAAUUGUAAGACCUAGAACAUCACUUGUUUACAAUUACCAAUUGUUAACAAAUUAUAUAUUUCUUUCUUUAACGCAGGUUAGAUAUAUACAAGAAAUUCUAGUGAUAAUUAUUUCUUAAAAAUACUCUAAAUUCCUAGGUAAGUAAAUAUGAGAUAUAAAUAUAAUUUAAAAAAUUUAAAUAUAUAAAAUACUGUAAAACUAUAAAAAAAACAUUAUUUUUAUUAUUAACAUAUAUGCAUGUAUAAGUGUAACACUUUGUUUUAAUAUUAUAGUUGGGUAAACAAAAUUAAUGAUAUUGCUUGAAAAACAUUUUUAUUCAUUUAUAACGAUAAAAAAAAUAACAACAACCAACUAACAAAACAACAAAAGUUUAUGAUAAGAAAAUAACAUAAAUUCAGUUUAUUUUUAUUUUCUCUGAAUUUUUAUUUCUUAAUCAUUUUAGUGUUUCUUCUUUUUAUAUUCUCAAACAACAAAAUUUUAUGAUAACAAUAUAUAUGAGAAAUUAUGUUAUUUUUUAUCCCUUUCCAUUUAUAUUCUCAAUAUUUUUUCUAACUACUCAAACGAAAUUGAAUUUUACAACAUGCAAAUAUAACUGAUGCUUAGUAUAAUUCAUCAUAACCAUAACCUACUACUAUAAACAUAUAAUCUAUCAUUCAAACAGUAUAAUUUUAGCAACUAUGCAACCAAACCCUAAAUAUUCUCCAUGAUUAUAGAAAAAGGUCAACACUGAGAUAAACUGAUCACACAUUCAUUAAGGAAAAUAUUGUAGAUUAUCAGAAGUGAGUUACAAAGUUUCCUAAUAUUCAAUUAAGGGAAAAUGAAAAGAUUAAGACGCAGUCCUUUUGAUGGUUUACUCCAUUGUUGAUAGAAUUAGUUGCUCCUCACUUGUUGCAUCAUCAAUAUCUAUUGCAUCAGAAGAUCUCACAGCACAACUUGACAAACCUGCGUUUUGACUUUGUGGGUGAUAAACAGAAGCUUUAGUAGUAUCUUGAUUCAGAAUCACUUCACCCAUGUUGUUUCCACCUUUGAUUGAUUGUAGUGAUGCUAACCCAUUAUCCAUGUUGAUGCCAGAGUUGUAGUCAAAGUUGAUUGGAUGAAUUUUAUGAUGAUACUGCUGCCUGAUAUUUCUCAUGAACUGUGGAGAAUUCUCAGCAAUGGCCAUGUUAGAAAAGGUUGCUAAAAGAGGAUGAUGAUGAUGUGCCAAAGCUUCUUCUGCAUGAAAAUGUUGCUCUCCUUUUGGUCCCAUGUUGCCUGUGAAACCAGGAUGAUGAAAAUCUGUGAGUGAAGUAGAAGAUUGCAGGUGGAUUCUUUCAGGUUCUGUGUUCCAUGAAGCCAACGACAUCUCCUUCUGUUGCUUCUCUGUCAAAGAUUUUGUGUGUUUCUGCCAAUCAAAAUUUCACUUCAUGUUAACAAUAACUCAACCACUAUGAAACUCUAUGAAACUAGAACAUCAAUUGAAGGUAGAAACCAACCUGAAGAUGACUUGCAACAUGUCCUCUUUCCAAACCUGGAACGUUCAUAGCUUCAAGAAUAAAAACAAAACUGUGAAUACCACCAAAGAAAGAAAUACAAAUACUGAAGAACAGAGAGAAAAAAUUGUAGAAGAAUCAUACCUUCUUCUCCAGCUUUCUUCAUGGCAUUGAGAAACAAAUCAUGCAGUUCUGUUGACCAUACUACGCGCUUCGUCUUUCUUGAGGGUGGAUUAGCAUUCUUUGAUUCAUCAACAUCAAAAUCAACCAGAGAUGAAGCAAAUUCAGAAUUAUACCUCAUCACUCUUGUUCUGUCAUAAUCUUUCUGGCAACCAAUAUCUUUUCGCUUCUUAUCUUUACUCAUGCUGUUCUUCACAACAUGUGUCCACAUACUCACGAUCCGAUUCUUUUCCAAGGGUUUGAUCCAAUAAUCACAAGCUCCAACUUCAAUGGCAUUCAUAACGGAAGCAUCACUAUCAUCGGUGGACAUCACUGCAAAUUACAAAACACUUCAUUAAAAUUAUUCUUGAUCAGUGAAAACUUGAGUGAAAAUAUAAACAACUGUUACAUACUGAUGAGAGGAACAUUGAUCUGUUCUUGUUUGACGAAUUGCAGGAAUUCAUAGCCAUCCAUCAAUGGCAUGUGAGCCUCAAUGAGUAUGAGAUGAAUGAGCUCCUUUCUUUCCCGCAAAAAAUUGGCAGCAGACAGAGAUUCAGAGCAUGGUAUAACUGCACAAAACUCAAAAACAAGCGUCAACAUAACAAAAAAGAAUGAAUCUUUCUUUUUCAGAAAUAGUUACGAGUAGAAUAUUACCUUGAUAGGAAUAGUGGGUGCAUGCUUGCUUGAUGUAUUCAAGAACACUGAGGUUUGUGUCAAUGACAAGAACAUUAAGCAUUGAUGAGAAUCGAAGUGUGCGGUGAGUGUCGAUUGCAGGAGAAGAAUUUUCGGCCAUGGCUUCCCACUGUAACCUCAGAAUAACCUUACAAUGGAGAAUGGAGAAUGCAGAGAAUAGAGAGAAUGCAGAGAACAGAGAGAAUGCAGAGAACAGAGAGAAUGCAGAGAACAGAGAGAAUGCAGAGAACAGAGAGAAUGCAGAGAAUGGAGAAUGGAGAAUGAAGAAUUGAAGAAAGCAAGUGAAAGAAACAAGUUUCGGUGGGUAAUUUAUAAUUCAAAAUCCAGCCCCUAUCACUUCAUUUUUUAUUUUUCAAAAUAUAAUAGAUAAUUAAGCAAGGGUGGUUCACACCUCAAUAAAAUAAUAUUUUAUUUCAUUUUUUAAUUUAAUAGAAAGAAUUGUUUUUUUUUUUUAAUGUGAAUGGAAAUAACAUGGUAGCUAAUUACUCUAGUUACUUUUAGUUUUUUUUUCUGUUUUUUUUCAUCCAUAAUGUUUUUAUUUAUUUAAUUAUUUUCCUUUUUUACUUAAUUAUUAUAUACUAUUAUUGAUUAUACAUAAAUACAAAUUUAUAAAAUAUAGAAUGCGAAUUUGAAAAAUAAAAUCAAAAAAUUCUAAUGAUAGAAUCGGUUAAUUUAAUAAAUGCCGAAACUGAUAUUCAAAAACUUAAUAAUUACAAUAAUACAGAAAUUGUUCAAGAAACUGAAUUAGGUUACCAACUUCAAAUUCUAAAAAUUCAGUGAUUGGUUAGUUUCUAAAAUUAGUUGAUUGAAAAACCUUAAUCUCCGUUAUCUAAUAUCUUUUGUAACAUCUGUUUUACUAAAAAAACAAAUUCUAACAUGUGGUUUAUUUAAGUAAUUAAUAUUAAUAAAAUGGAGUUUUUUUUUUAUCAUAUUGGAAUAACCUUACAAUGGAGAAUGACUUUUCUUUUAAAAAAUAGAAGAAGAUUAAAAUAAAAUGCCAAAUGGAUUCUUCAACUCUUGAAUUGGGAAAAUGGAAAAGUGAAAAGAAACGUUACAAAUCAAAUCAAAUAUAUGUUAUUUAUUUUAUGCUUGGAAUUUUUUCCUUUUUUCUAGGAGGGGAUUUUUACAAUUUAAUAUAGACUAAUACACAGUUUACCCCUUUUUUUUAGAAAGAUAAACAAAAUUCAUGUAAUUUUUGAAGGUUGAGAACCAAACUUUAAAAUAAAAAUAUAGUAACUAUGUUUAUAUAUUUAACUCUCCUUUUGCCUUUUUAACACUAAUCCUUUCAUUUUAUCUUUCUUUAUUUCGAUCAUUAACUCCUCGUAUAUUUCAAUUUUUGGAAAAGUUUUACUCAUUCAACUUCUCCAAAAUCUAAGAUAUAUAUUAGUUCAUUUUGAUUUAUGAGAAAAGCACAAUAUAGCUUCCUAUUUCUUCCUUCUAUAAAUUUUAUGGAGAGUAAACAAAGUCCAAAACUAAGAACACCAUAAUCUGAAGCUAUGCAGUAUAUAACUAAUGUAGCAUGGAUCAUACAAAAUAGUAACAUAAAUAAGGAUCCAAAUAUAUUAUUUUAUGGUUUUGAUAACAGAGUUAUUAUAAUUUAUAACACCAAUUUAUAUUUAUUGAACAAUUCACACCCGAGACAGAUGAAUUAACAUUUUUCCAGGAUAUAUAUCGAUUUGCUACUUGUCCUUCCAAAUUGAGUAUUUCCUGCACAAGAAAGAAAAAAUGACAAACUUCAGCUAAUGUAGCUUUUCUAAAACUAGUAAUCUGAAACAGAUAUUAUCAUUUUAAUCUUAUAAUUAUAAGGGGGCAAAAGUUUGAAAUACAAAAACAACUAAAGGGAAUCCAAUUUGAUGGGACUCAAAUAUAAAACCAAUUAUCAUUUUUCAAUUUUUGUACUUUGAUGCAGAUGAUGAUAUCUACAAUUUAAAUAAUAAAAACCUGAUUGAAAACUGACAUCUAUGAGAUAAUCUGAACCGAAGUAAUGAACUAGUCAAAUAAUUAUGCAGAGCAAUGCAAGAUUGAGAAUUUACAAGACAAUUUGCAUAGGUUAGAGUACCACAACACUAGUACUCAUCAAGAAGAAAGGUAGGGUUGAAAACUAAAUGGUAGUAAAACUAACCUCUGCAGCAUUACAUGUUCUAUAUAAUCAAAUCUUUAGCACUCAAGACUGCAAGAGCUUCUCAAUAUCUUUCUGCAGGAGGAAAAAUAUAAAUGAACUGAAGUUAAAAUUGACCCCCUUUGCUUGCAUCAUCAUUAUAUGUAGAAUUCAACUUCAAAUAUAUAAGCACUAUAAUAUGUCUAACCUCGAUUUUCAAGGGUGAGGUGGUAGGUGCAUAUCUCUCCACAACUUUCCCUUCUUUGUUUACUAAGAACUUUGUGAAGUUCCACUUGAUACCAUCUCCAAAUAUUCCACCUUUCUGCUCUUUCAAAAACUUGUAAAGUGGUGCUGCAUUCUUCCCAUUGACUUCAACCUGUGAUUAACUAUUUUAGGGUGAUUUCCAUAUAAAAUGACACAUGGAACAGUAUGCAAACAAAUAUUCCACAUGCAUAAACAUCAUGUUUGGCCAAGAUAGAAUAGUACACAUAAAAGGGAACAAAAUAGAGCAAAUUAAAUAUGAGGUGAUUGUCACUUAUCAGAAAUCACCUUAUCAAAGAUAGGGAAUUCAGCCUUGAACCUAGUGCAAACAACAUCCUGAAUUUCUUCAUUGUUUCCUGGUUCCUGUCCAGCAAACUGGUUACAUGGAAAUGCCAAGAUUUCAAAUCCUGUAGAUGGAGACCACUCGGAAGACUCAGGUUUACAAAUUCACAUCAUGAUAAAUAUAGUUGAAAAUUUUCUUUCUUUUCCUAUUUUUACUCAAGUGUUUUACCUUGAUUCUUGUACUUGUCGUACAAUACAUUCAAUUCUUUGUAAUUUGUCUGUGUCAAACCACUGCACCAGUGCAUUAAAAAGUAUUAGUUACACACAGGGAAGAAUAAUGGCCAGUAAUUAGCUAAUUCUAAUGCAAACAAUAACACCAAGCCUUAUCACACUAGAUGGUGUUAGAUAAAUGGAUCCAACAAUGUCGGUGAGUUUUAUCAGAAACCAAGAUUUCAUGAAAUCCACUAAAACCAAGAUUUAUUUAAACAGGUUUCCCAAUGUUCUCUUUGCUCAUCCUCUACCUAUUUUAAAAGAACAAUUGUUUAUCAACUUUUCAAAGUUGGUCUUAAAAACCUUAAUCAAAAUCAUAAGUUUGUUCUGUUUUCUAGCGAAUCAAUCCUACUCCAACUUUCUCCUGAACUGGAUACAACUGUUAGUGUUACAAUUGAGCUUAUAUUUUCUAACUUUGAUGCCAAACAUCAUGAAACUCAUGGUGCAAACUUUGAUAAUAUCAAUGUCAUAUAUUGUAUCUUCUUAAGAAUGGUUUCUAUUGCUAAGAAACAAUGUUGUUUGGCAUAGUCCAACCUAAAAACCUAUGCUUUAGCCCUGAAAACUAUAGCUUUACAAUAUCCAUACCCUAUAGAGAUUAUUUCACAUUCACCAGCGAAGGUCUAAUCUUUCUGAAAAACACACAAACAUAUAUAAAUACCAUGCAACACUUUCCUACCAGUCCAUAUAACACACGUAAAUGUAACCCAAAAUUAAUUUAUCUGCGUGAAUAAAAUCAAAUUAUGUUACCAUUGUGAGGCAACAUUCACAAUCAGUAUAACCUUCCCAGUGAAAUCAUUCAGACUCACAUCAUUUCCACGGAUGUCCUGUAAAUAUAGUUCACAGCAUAAACAAAUAUAAAUCAUCAAAGAAAAACUUCGUCCAAGCAGUGAAAUACUAACCACAGAUCAGCAAUAACAACAAAAUCAGCAACACAACCAGACUUGUCCCAAAAAAUUUGGUAGGACAGAACAAACACUUGUUAUAUAGAGUUCGACACACAAACCAAUAAUCAGCAAAAACAACCUGAACUCAAACUCAAUUCAUUUUCAGUUAAUAUCAUAUACAAAGAAAAAUAAAUCUAAAUUUUGCAAUCUUGGUAAAGCAAAUAUGCAGAAGGUCACAAAUUGAAAAGAAAAUUAGAUCAGCAAGCUCCUUUAACAUUGAAAUACAAAAAGUGUAUAAUCAGAAACUACAAAAUAUACUUAUAACGUGAUAGUGUUCCUUCUUGUUAAUCUAUAAGAAAAAUUUCACAGGGUACACCCACCAAACAAUUACAGUGCAAAAGCAAUUGGGCAUGAGCACUUUCCAAAAAAUCAGCAAAAAAAUGAUCAAGCAACAAUUUUUAGGCAGAUGCAACAACAAAAAAACGAACCUUGACAGUGAAAUCGUAAAUGGAUUUAGAAGAUUCUUCAGCCAUUAGAGAGGGAGUUGAAGGGUAGGUGUGAGAAUAGAUGAAGAAAGCAAGAAGCAAAAAGAGGAUAGAUAUGCAGUUCCAGAAAGUCAACAAAUUCAUGCCAUCUAAUCAAUGCAAUGUUCUCAAAUUUAUAGUAUAUAUUGUUAUUGUGGCUCUGUUGCUAAGUAGAAAAUGCAUGUCACGAUGAUGUGCACAUGUGAACCCAAAUUAAUUAAUACGAAUCAGAAUCACGUUGUCAUGAAGUGGAAUUGGAUACAAAUUAAAUUCUGCGUUCUAAAUAAGCAAAAUCGUCUUCAUUUACUAAAUAUACAUUCUUAUAAAUAUACAAAUCAUAAAAUUAAUGUUUCAAAAAACAUCAGGUUUAAAGUUAUAAAGGAAAAAAAAAAGUAGGGUUUAUAAUUAGUGGUGUAUGAAAUGAGUAUAUUUAAUUAAGAAAAAUAUAAAUAUGAAAGUAAAUGUAGUGUUUGUAAAAGAAGAAAGAGGGUUUAUAAUAAAUAAAUAAAGUUUUAAAAAGUAAUAAUAAUUGUAUUAAAAUAGAAAGUUAGGCCUGAAUAUUUAAGAGUUUGAAAAAUAUUAAAAAAUUAAAACUAAUAAAAAACUCAAAAGUAUGAAAAUUAGAAAAAUAAUAUUUUUAAGAGUUAAAUAUAUAAAUAUAUUUGUCGCACUUACACUAAAAAUUGAUUUUUGGCAACUGUAGAUUAUUUGUAUCAUUGUCACAUGGAAGUUCAGAUACUUAAAAUAGUUUUCACUAAUUUUUUAUAUAUAAAAAAAUUCCAUAACUUUUUUUAUAAUAUUUUUAUUUAAAUUAAAACUGGAUUCCAGUAAAUAAAAACUCUAAUCACUUGAUAAAGAAAAAAACUUUAUCAUCGGUGGUGGUUGAGUUUCCCCAAAUUCUGGAUUAUUCAGACAUAUAAAAAAAGAAGAGAGGUUGUUAAUGCACUGCUUCUUCCUCCUGUACUUUCGUAUCUUCUUGUGCUACCUCAUUUCUAAAUAAGAAAAUACUUUUUUAUCUUUUUUUUUUUUUCACUUACUUUCAUUCUUAAUUGGAAGAUGUUUUCUGAUUUGAAAGUGUACUUUAGAUUCCAAAAGUGUUUUUUGAAUUUGAGAUAAGUUUAUGAUUUAUGUAAUUCGGUAUCCAGAUUACAUAAUACAGAAGUUAAUUUUAUAUCUAGAAAAAACUUUCGAAUUAUGUAAUUUGAAAGUUAAUAGUGUAUCUGAUAAAAAAGUUUUCAAAUUACCUAAUCCGUAAUCCGAAAGCCAGUAUCAUGUAUAGAAAAAACUUUCAAAAUAUGUAAUUUAAAAGUUAAUCAUAAAAAAAUUUUGGAUUACAUAAUCUGAAAGUUAAUUACGAAUCUAAAAAAAUACUUCUGAAUUAUAUAAUCCAGAAUAUUAAAAAAACAUUUUUAAAAUAAAAAAAAACUUAUGAGAUAAUAAAAAAAAAAAACGUAUGGAGGUACAUCAAGAAUUAGUCAUGUUAAUGCCUUCAAGGACAUAUUCAGUUUAGUCUCAGAGAGACAGAGACAUAGUAUUCGUAAACAAUAAAGAAAAUAUUUGAGGAAUAUUUAUAUGUUUUUUAGGGUUACUCGAACAAUUGUUGAUUUGGAAUAUUUAGUGUAAUUUAUUUUUUAUAUAAAAGUUAUUUUUAAAUUAAAGUUAUUUAUUAGAAUUUUAAGAAAACAACUUUAGAAACUAUUUGUCAAAUUUUUUAGUUUAAAAUUCUUUCCAGGUUAAAAAAAUGUUGGGAGAGAUAAUUCGUAUUUAUAUUAAUUGUAAUAUUUAUUAUACUUAUAUGAAAAGUAUGAAAAAAAUAAUAUUUAUAACAAAUGAUUGUCCAUAUUACAAUUGAUAGUCAGAUCCGACAAGUGAUAAUCCAAACUAAGAGACCAUGAGGUCGAGAAGUUCAGAAAAAAAGAAGUUAAUUACUUCUAGACCUUGUAAGAACGCUUCUUAUUUUCUUUUGCCUGAUAGGUUUGGAGAAUGAAGAAGUAUCUGAAUCUCGUAGUAGAAAAGUAUGUUCUUAGAAACAUGCAGUGCUGUAAAUCCUUUAUUUUGUGGAAAGCUACUUACUUACACUACAAACGAAAGAAAUAAUUGUUCCUAUAACUACGUUUUGACUACACAGGGACAUAUCCAUAGCUGUGAUCAUUUACAGAGAAAUACAAAAUUUGAAAAACUUUCCUUGCUUUUUCAAUUUUUCACUUUGGACAUGUGCAUUGAUAUGUCAGGAAGCAGUAUUUAACAAAGAGAACUUAGCCCAUAAGCAUAUCUUACCCUUGUCCAACACCAACCUUGCCCCAGUGACCAACCAAUGGCCAGGACUAUCUUGUGGCCCUUUACACAACUGUGAAGUGUCUACAAAUUUCAACAUCUUUUGCGUUUGCACAGGCACUGGAGGUCCUGUUGGAAACACACUGGAAUCCAAAACUACAACUGGUUUUUUCUGGUCUUUACCUGAAAUUGAUGUGCUUAUUACUGAGAAAAUGCCAGAUCUCUGUGAUAACCCAGAGGAGCCCUGUGUCCAACUUGAUUUCACAACUACAAAAUUAGACACCUUAGAGAACAUCAGUCUCAGAUGAAGUACACUCCUUGAGUCAUGUUUCUUCACAUAAAGUUGGGCACCUGUGACUAUAAAGGCCACAUCUUUAUCAGAGCUCCAUCUGGGGUCGUAUUUUACUGGUGCUGUGCAUACAUGGGAGAAUUUCUUCCCAUUGAUUGCUUCAAAGAAACGUUCAUCACUGAUUUCUUCUGACCAUAAUGGGGUGUCUUCUAUUUUGUCGUUAAGCAUUGUCGGAGUGUUCAAUAGAUGUUGCACGUGUAUGGCUAAUCUGUGUCACCAAACAUCCUUGUGAGCACCACUCAUUCACCAAACAUUCUUAACUAAAAUGAUGGUUAGACAGAACUAAAGACUUAAUUGUACUUUUAGUCUAUCAUGUAUCAAUUUUAUGACUUCUAGAUUUGAAUCUUAAUUGCAUCAAAUUCCCUUAUGUCUGAUUUCAUCAAAUAUCUAAGUUUUAAGUCAUGAUAGUGAGUAAACACAGUGUAACAACAACUACAAAAAAAAAAAUAAGAUUUGAAAUAUUGACUUCUCAUGUGUAGGAUAUUGUUUUUAUGAUAACAAGAAAGAAUAAAAGGUAUUUUUAAAAUGUUGGAUUAAAUUAGAUGAGAAAGUGUGACAGUAAAUAAGAAAAAAUUGAGAGAUUUCAUUUACCUAACUAAUUAGACUUUAGAAGAACAAAAUUGUAGUCUCAUAUAUUGCCUUGGAGCUAGAAAUGUAAGGGAAAGAAUAAAUAGUAGCAGUGUGAAAGUAACCUGUUGCAUUUCAUGCCCUCAAGAAACAAACGGAUCCCUGUGAUUGGCCUUUUACCAGCUGUUACCUGUUAUGAUUAAGAUACUUACUGAGGCAGAAGUAAAAGACAAAGUUUAAGUCUUGAUAUAGGGAAUAAUUUGAAUGUACCUUUGAUGUGUUUACAUAAAGCUUGGGACCCAUCAAGUUGAAACUGAGAGAAGGUGAGGAGGUGGUUCUGUUUGUGGCUGGACACAGUGGAAGAUCAUUGUGAAUGGGAGCCCAAAGCUUGUGUGAUUGAUAGUCAAGAAAGUAGGGUAAAUCUGACAUGGGAGGCUUAUCUGCAUUUCACAUCAAUUCAAUUCAUUGUAUUAGUUCAACAACCAAAAAAGUGACACCCUGGUGAAGAGUAAAUGGUUAAACAUUGUGAAUGGGACCUCAAAUCUUGUGGGUUUGGAACAAGUCAAUAAAGUAUGGCAAAUCUGACAUUGUAGGCUUAUCUGCAUUUUCUAUGAACUUAUUUCGUUCUCAGUUGCCUAAAAUUGUUCAAAUCAAAAACUGCUGUCCCAAUUCUCAAGUCAAAUAAGCUUUCCCUAAGAUUAAUUUAUUGUAUCUGGUAGAUUUGAUUGAGUUCAUAUACCUGGUCAAGCCGCAGAAAAGAACAUUUUAAUUUAUCUACAACUUUUUCUACGUGUUGCGAAUUACAUGUGAUAUGAUGGCAUUUUGAGAAAAAAGAUAAGGAAACCCAAAUCUUACCAAUCACAUUUGCUAAAUAUUUUAAUCAUUGCGUCUCAUUCUUUAAUGAGAAAAGUUUUGUUGACACCAUAUGAACAGUAACCAUGUUUAUAAUAAUAUAAUAGUAUUUUUAAAUUAAAAAUAAAUAAAAUAAAAAUAAAUAAAAUACUAAUUUAUUAAGAUGUGAAAGAUAUGUUUUUAUUGAUGAGAGUGUUAAUAAAUCAGCACCCUUCUUUAAUCAAUUAAUAACUGAAGUAAGUAUCUGAAUACAAAAAAAAAAUAUUAAUUAAUUAUUUGUGUAUUGACUUUUGUGAUCAGCUAGUUUACACUAAUACUAUUUCCGGAAACACAAUUUCAAAUGGUCACAAAUGACGGAGUUUUCAAAACCCCGACAAAAUUUUGGUUAAAAAAUAAAGUCAUGUCAUUAAUACGGAAUUCCCUAGAGAAAAUUUCCAUACAAUGUUGCUGUUGGUUUGUUGUGUCUGAGAGAGAUGGACUUUGAUGUUCAAAUUCAAAAUAUUUGACAACUCAGGUAUUUACAAAAUAUUUUACAUGUAUGUGUUUUAUUGGUUUGGAAUUUAAGUGGAGUACAAUUUAUUAUUAUACAGAUGUUUGGUUCAGUUUGAAGGGUAAACAAUCAAUGCCAUCCUUCAACAGAGUAUCACCAAUUUAAAUUUCAAAAAGAGUCAAAAAAAUCUUAUUUAAUAUGUAAAAAAUUCAAAAUAAUCUUUAAUAUCAUUGUUUUAUGAUAAUAAUUUAUAGUUUAGUGUCAAAUUAGUCUUAAAAUUAUAUUUUAAUAAUAAAACAGUUUCAUAAAACUAAACAAUAGAAUGUAAUUACAAGACUUCUUACACAAUUUAUUCUUUUAAGAACUAAAUUGAUUAUGUCUCACAUGUUUAUGGACCAAAUAUGUCAUUUACCUUAGUUUUAAACCAUUUUUUUUUUCUCAAAAAGUUUCAGUUAUUUUUUGAAAAGGGUUCAUUGUGUAUGUACUACUUUGUUUCAUGAAAAAAUCUUAAUUUUCAGAGAUAAAAGAAAACUUACAUCGAAGGUAGAGGUUGAUGGCAUGGGAUAGAAAGCCUUUGCCUGGAACACCUUUAAGAAGAGAAGUGAUGGGAAUGAAGCUAAAAUCAACAGCAUCUGGUUUCUUUAGAACUGUCUGAAGCCACUCACUAUGGUCCCUCAGUUGGGUAUCCCCACCCCUCUUUGCACAUAUCACACUAAUUCCCUACAUGUUCCAUUAUCUACAAUAUUAUUUCUGAACAAAUACCAUUUUUUUCAGGGUCUUUCAUUUCACAAAAUUUUCAAUAUUAAAACAUUGAAUAUUAAUAUAUUGAUGAAGAUUGGGGCAAGUAGAACCUACAUCUUUUGUACAAACUGAUGUAGAGCAAUUGAAGGCAACAAUUUGAGGACCAAAGACAUCAAAAGCCUGUGGUACCUGUGUUUUCAGCAAAAUACAUUGUAAUCAAAUUAUGGUGGCGUGUUUAUGUCUUGUACCUGUGUAGACUGAGUGUUUUUUUACUGUCGGUCAUCAAAUCUGAAACUCACUCGUUCGAUACCGACCGAUAUAUGUCUUAAUUAAUUAUUAUAUAAACGAAGGAAACCUUGUAUUUUUGGUCUUUGGACCUUGGAAGGAAACUGCAUGUCCCAGUGAAUAAUUGAUUUCCAAGUUCAUCCAAGUGGCCCUUCAGCUCUGAUGGCUCCAAGCUGGAAGACACGUCUUGCUUCACCAACACUAAAUCUUGGCCACCAAUGCUAAGCCCCACAAGGAUGUGUGUGCCGAAAUUCUCAAUGAAUCUGUCAAAAAAUUUGAAUCCCAAUUUUUUCAAAUGGCUAAGCUGUGUUUGUAAAAUCAUUCAAAUGUGAAUUCAUUAAUUUUAUUCAGCUACGUACAAUUUCCCAGGUGGGAAUGAAACAGCUAAAAAAAACACUUUGAGGAGAAGAGUUUUCAAACAAAGCUCUUCUAUAGUAGGCCAGUUUAGCAGGUAUGCAUAACAAAAUGUUAGUCAACAGUUUGGUUAAUAGCGUUUUCAACUCAAACAAGAUAUUUGAAACUUCAAUCAAUUUUUUCAGCCUGGAAAUUUGCUACAAUUUUCGAGGCAACUGCUGAAUUUUUUGGCAUAUUUUUUCUAAACGAAAAUAGAAACCUUUUAAAUUCUAACUGUUAAUAUAUAUAGUUUGAUCCUAUAGCUUUGAGGAAAUAAAGAGAUAAAUGAAAAAAAAAAAAGUGGAUGACAAUCAUCAAACAUCCGUGAUGAUUCAUCGUUAUCCUCGAUCUUACGUUUCCAUUAGAAAAUAUCGAAAAAAUCAUUGUUAUGUCGUUAUCAUAAUCAUCUUUUAAAUAUAGGGUAAACGAUUGACUUGUACUGAAUACUGAUCCACUGAUAUGUAGAGGAAAUAACAAUAUAUGAUUAUGCUUUGUUAACAAUAGAAGAGAUUACGAUGAGGAUAAAAUGUAAUCGUUAUGAAAAUUAUAUAUAUUCUAAUUUAGUCAAUACUUGAAAUUAUUUAAAAUUAUAAUUGCUUCUAAUAUUCUAAGCUUCUAGUUUUUACAUAUAAUAAAAAAAAGAACUAGUUUUAAUUAUCUGAAAAAAGCAUUAUAUGUUUUGAAAUGUUUAUGGAUGCAAGAGAGACUUGAUCAGCAACAAAAGUGGAAAAGGAAAUUGAAAGACAAUGUUUUGUGAUUUUCCUUUUACUUUCCAGCUAGCAGCCAAGAAAUUCAAUUCAAUUUUGACUAAAUAUAAAUUAUUAGUAGACGAUAAUGAAAUUUCUAACGUAUAAGAGAAAACAAUUCCAACCUAGUGAAUACUUUAAAUUAUUUUUCUCUAGACGCUCUUGACAAGUAACUAUUCAAGUCAAAUUUUCAAUGUUGUGUAGAGUUAACAGUUCCACAGUUUCGAUCAUCGGAAAAUUAGUGAAAACUUCGAAGUUUAGUGAAAUAAUGACACAAUUUUUUACAUAGUUGAAAUUAUAAACCAGUUUUGAAUGAUGGGUUGAUAUACAGAUGCAGAAACUAAGCAAUGAUGAUGCAGUUGACCAUAAGAAUUAAGCAAUGAAAAAUAGAAAAAAUGGAGGGACCAUUUCAACUUAGAUAACUUACAGGGCCAGCAAGAUAAGUAUAUGUCUGCCAUGGAAGUGUAAAAUUAUAAUAAUAAAUUAGUGGUUUUGUAUUUUUCCUGAUAAAAAAUUAGUGGUUUUGAAAAGAUAACCUAAAAUAUGGCUUUUGUACCCAGUUUUCGUUUUCUCCAGAAAAAAAAAUGAUAUUAAAAUAGGAGUUUAGAAACUCGAGUAUAAAAUAAUUUUUCCAUUAGAAAGUCAUCAACCUCGCCAGAAAAAAAUAAUUUAUUUAAUUAUUUAACACAAAUUAAGUUUACAGUAAAUUCAGUUAAAUGAUUGAAAAAUAUAUAAUAAAACUCUUAUUAAAUAAAAUUAGAUAGAGCAAUGAACACCCUAUAAUAUUAUAGGUUAAUCAAAAUUAAAGUUUUGUUUCAAUAAUACUUAUGCAGUAUUUGACUGAAGAAUAACUUCUGUAAUACUGUAUGAGUUAUGUCUUGUAGAAUUUUGAAACUGUCAUCAAACUAUAUAUAUUAUGAAUUUGAGUUAUGUAUACUGAAUUUCUUCAUUUUCUUAUCAUACUUUAGAAAUCUCAAUCAUAAUUUAUAAUUUAUUGAUGAUUUUUACAGAGAUAUAUUAUGUAAAAACAGAGAAUAGUAAUGGUGUGUGAUGUCCACAUAAACCAGAGGCCAGUUCAUAGUUUAGCAUGUGAUUUAUUUGCAUAAUGAUUUUUUGAGAAGAAAUUAUCAUUACCUUGCAAGUGCAGGGGGGUCCCAGGAAGAAGGAACAGCUUGAAGGACUUCAUGAGAGAGAAGAAGAGGGUAGCGAUCAAUAUGAACACUGAAGAGUUUGAUGAAAAAAGCAUCAAUACCCAAACACUUGGUGUUAGCAGCAUCGAUUGCCCAGGAACAUUCAUCAAACCCAAACACGGUGUUGAAGUACCCAGAUGGGAUUCUCCCAGGGAUCGAACUCUUCUGGUUGAAGAACUCUGACAUCUACAAACCCAGAAGCCAAAUUUCGACAUUUUCAUUUUCAAUUUUGUUUUUCGCCAAUUGACCACAAAGUGUUUGAUGAAAUGAAUGUCUUACUUGAUUGAAGGUGAGGAUGUCCGAUUGGUAGCGGGUGCAAUCGCCCUUGUCGCAUUUGAUGUCGCCGGAGACAUCGCUGAUGGGUCCGAAACCUGGCACCGUGAGCUCUCGUUUCUCGGUUUCGUUGAGAAGAACCAAACGUUCUUCUCCUUUGCAGAACUUGAGUCUGAAAUCAAAAGUCAAGUCGAAACCUUUUCCUAAACUGUUCAGCGCCCUCUCAACAAUGUCUUCGCCCAUUUUUCGGUGUUUUUUACCAAUGAAACGAAAGUGUUGCUCACUAUAUAUAUACCAACUUUUCUCCACCAAGGGGUGGAAUGGAAAUAUAAAAAAAAAAAAGGUUAAUUUAGGAACAGAUUUUUUUUUUCCACAGGAAUAAUGAUUCUUAUGAAUUCCACUAAUUGUUAUUCUUAAAAAAAUAUUAAACACACUCUCGGAUACUAGAAAUCGGAUAUUCGAAAAGACUGAUAUGGUCGAAUGGUCGAGAAGACUGAAUGACUCACCUAAUUUAAAUAGAGUUCGUAAAAUCUUAAUUAAUCAUAAUUUAGUCAUUUUUAUCUGUAAAACAUUAUUAAGGUACAAUUGGGUCUUCUUUUAUACCCACGAGCGGAUCCAUGACUAUUGAGUCUCCUCUAAAAGGUACAAAUAUUCGAGGAAGUAUACGUCUGAGAUAAUUUUUCUCUUUUGACUCACAUGCAUAAUGUAUUUGAACUAACUUAAUUGUCAAAGUGUCGUUGUUGUUGAUUUCCUCACUUAUUCCACGAAAAAUGAAGAACUAAUCAGACCACCGUAUCUGAAGAUCGUGAAAAUCGAAUACAUAAGACAAAAACUCGAUUAUGUAAGAACACCUAAUUUAUUAUCGUUAUAUUAAAUUAUUUAAUAAGAAUAAUGUCGUAUUUUAUUAUGAUUUUUUUAAAUAGAUAAAAACGUUAAAAACAUUAGUGAAAAAUAAAUAAAUUAUUUUAUUUUAUAGAUAGUAUCACAAUAUUAGUAUUGAUUAAUUAAUUUUAUAUAGAACACUGUGCAUUAACAAAUAAAAAAAGAGAGCUUGAAGACUGAUUAUGAAAUGGUUAGUUAUCUCGUGUUCAUAUCAUUGAAGUCAUAAAUUAUUCUGAGUUUUAUGUUUGACUAUCAUUACUUCAGCCUCUGAAUCACGACACGGUCUUGGUUCUUCUGUUUCAAGUGCUUCUGUGAUGUUGGAUCGUAAACAUGGAACAGAUCGAAUACCAUUCACACAACAAGGUCAUGUUUUGGAAGGUUUCGGAUUUUGUCUUCUGUGUCAACUUCAGUUUUUGUCUUGUUGGCUUCUUACCAGCCAAAACAAACAAGAUCUUCCUUAUGUCACCAUUACAUAAGCUUAUUCAAGAAUUAAAGAGUAAAUUUCCCAUUAGGUUUAUAAUUACUUUUCAAUGGAAAAUUUUAUUUAGGAAAGAAAAAUGACUCUUCUAACAAAAAAAAAUACGAUCCUAGCUUAGAAGAUUAUGUUCACUAUAAAUAUAGAAAAAUUUGUAGCUAAAUUAUUAUCUGUCAAUUCUUAUUAUAGGUUUUCUGUUAUAUGUUAAAAUAAUUUCUUGAUUUCAUUUUAUCCGACAUUAUUUUUGGUUUUUUUUAAUAUUAAAUAUUAUAAUUUUAUGAGAUUUUUUAUUCUCUAUUAUACUGCAUUGAUUUACAUUGAUACGAUAUUAAUGUCUUUAAUUACAUAAAUAAUCGAUAUGUUCGUGAUAAUAUCAGUUCGAUUCAUGACAAGACAAUCUCACUAGUAGUUUCAAACAGAAGGCAACAAGAUUAUGUUUAAAUCUACAAUAAAUUUAAUCAUUUAGAUCAACAACUAAUUUAUAUAUUCUGGAUACGGACUUCACCUAUAACACUACAAUAGCCUUAAGUUAAAAAUAGUCUCUUGAAAAUAAUUUUUCAUUUUUUUUUUAUGUUGAAGUUCUGAUCGAAGUUAUUUUAUUUCUUCAUACACAUAACUGGUGAUGAUCUAUGGUUAAAUUGUUAAUGAAAGUUAAUUUAGUGAUGUCGAUGAUUAAAUUUCGUUGUCAUUGGAAACCGAUUUUUUCAAGUUGAUUGCCAAAUUGGUGACUUUAAGAUUGUGGUGUUUUAUGUGUGGUUUGCAGCAUCGUAACCAUUAUUAUUGCUACCUGAUUUCUGAGGCAACUUUUCAUCGUCACAAACCAUGUGUGCGUACAUAAAUGCUUCUUAUGGUCUAAUUAUGGGAUUCAAUUUUCGCUUUUAUGAUAGAUUCUAGAUUACACUGUGUUUCAUUUUUGUUGGAAGUUUAAAAGAUUAUGAGUUAUUGUGAAAUAUGAUAUUAUAUAGUAUUUAUUUUAGAUAAAUAUGAAUUUAUAUAAUAUAUUUAUCAUUUAAUAUAUAUGGUUAAAAUUAUUUUUUGUUGAUUUGAGAUUUUUUAUUUUGUGGUGAUUAUAUAUUUAUAUGUAGUUAAAUAGAAUAGUAUAUGAAAUGUGAUAGAUAUAUUAAGAAAUGAAUUGUAUCUAUUUAUAUAUUAUAAAUUGAGUUUAUUAGAUGAAUUUUUUAAAUUACUCUAAUAAUAUAUUAAAAAACGAAUUAUAUCUAUUUAUAUAUUUGAAUUCACUUUUUCGUGAAACAUUAUGAAUUGAUUUUAUAAUAUGAAUUUUUUAAAUUAAUCUACUAACAUAUUCAAAAAUAUAUUAUAUAUAAUUGAUUUUAUCAUAUGAAUUUUUUAAAUUAGUCUAACAACAUAUUACAAAAUAUAUUCUAUUUAUUUAUAUAUUAUGAAUUAAUUUUUUUUUUAAUUUACGUGUGUGUGGUUUAAACAAGUAACAAAUGAAUUUCAAUGUUAACAUUUAUUUGAAUUUAUUUUUUCAAUACUAACGUGAUACUCUAUUAAAACUUAACAUUGACUAAUCUUGCAAGCAAUGCUAAGGUUUUGAGAUUCAGAUUUUUCUACUAAAAUGAAUCAUAUAAAUGGGAAAAAAUUAUAUGAUAUAAAAAAAUAUCACUUAAUGCGUAAUUCAUACGUUACAUAAUGAUAUCUAUUUGGUUCUAAAAGAAUAAAAGCUCAUGCCAAAAUAAUUCUUUGAUUAUCUCUAUUAACUCACAAAAAAUCUGUAAUUACUAACUUUGAGAAAAAUGCUAAUAAGCAGUGUAUCAUGAUCAUAUAUUAAUUACGUACAUGUUUUAUUUACAUAUGUAAAAUUAUCAAAUUAUUCAGAUUUUUUUUUCAAAAAUUAUCAGAGUUAACCUUUAAAAUAAAUUAAUAUUUAUUGAGAAUUUUGUUAAAACUAAUUCAUUUCAAGAAUUACUUAUAAAAAUGGAAUAUUGUAUUUUUCAUAUUAAUAAUUUUAACAUGUACUUUUUUUAUGCAGUUUAAAGGUUAUUAUAGACAAAAUAGAAAGGACAAAAAAAGGUGGACAGAACAAUAAUAGAAUGUAUUAUUUCAAAAAAGGAUAAUGUAGGAGUAGGUAACAAAUUGCACCUCAACAGUUAUAAAUUAUUUAAUAUUAUUAAAAGGAAUUAAAUGUUAAUAACUAAUAAUUAAAUAUUCAUAACUUUUUCUUUCACCUUCCAUUAUUUAUAGAACAUGUCUCCCUAAAACCUCAGCAAUAGAUAUUAGGUGAGAUUAAAACGCAGAGAAGUAACAAUAUUACAUAAUUUUUUCAUACGUUAUCAUCCUCACUAAUUAAGUAAAAACAUGAUAAGAAAAAUAAUCAUAUAUAUAUAUAUAUAUAUAUAUUAUAAAAAAUAAAUUAAGUAACAACAGAUAUCCAAAAUUUCUGAAAGUACUUUUUUUACAAAUCAUAACUACAGAAGUAGAUGAAAUAAAAUAUUUAUGAAAAACUAAACAUACAUGUACUGAUCGGGGCUGGACGAUGGAUAGAGAUCACAGUAUCCGAUUAGUGUUGAUCAACAUGACCAAAAUUAUUAAGUCUAACAGAAGACUAACAAAACUAAACUACAAUUAAACAUUAACUAAUACACUCUUAACUAUGAUUCAAAAUUCUAAUUCGACUCAAUAACAAAUGAUCCAUAAUAAUCAUAUAAAUGGUUAUGCAUCUCGAAAAAAAAAAGUACGUCAUUAUUAUGCAUUAAUUACACCUAGCACUGAAUACAAAAAUUUCACCUAAACUUCAGAGUGUCUGAAAAGUUGUAAAGUUAUUUUGAGAAGAGAAAAGAUAGAGAGAAAAAAAAAUAAUGAUCUUUGUUUUAACCACAUUGGAGGACAAUAAACACUAACAAAAAUAUAAUUGAAGUGUAUAUGAAAUUUACUAAUCGUUUUUGGGACAAAUUCACUAUAACAGAAUAAAAUAUAUAUAUAUAUAUAUAUAUAUUAACAAUGGAAAAAGUCAUAAAGUCUUUUAUAAAGUGUAUGUGAACAGAAGACUAAAUAGUACGAAAAUUAUAGUACUCAUGUCUAACUAAAAUUCAUCCGUAUAUAUUUAAUUCUUAGAUAUAAAAAAAUUAAAAUGAUCGACAAGAGAGAAAAAAAACAAUCAAAUAACAUCUUCAAUAAUUUGUUUUUCUACUCAAAUUAAAGAAAAUUGAUUAGAGAAAAUAAUGGAGCAAUUUUUCAUUGCCUCUUCAUCCACUUAUUGGUAGAGACAAAUAAAAGACCAACAAAUAAAUUGAAAAUGAAGGUUUAUAUUUUAUUUUAAUCCUUUUCUGUUUCUGAAAACAAAUGUCAUACUUUCAUUCUACUUUUUCAUUUUUACCUAUUUUUAUUUGUGGCAGAAAUAAAAUCUUUCAUCUUUUCAUUAGAAAAGGUUAUUUUUAAAAUUAUUUUUCUUCAAUAAUAUUUUAUCAAACUUUAUUUAUCUCUCUUAGAGAUAUUACUUUAAGACAUAGUUUAGUACACUAAAGAAUCGAUAGACAAAAAAAAAACUUUGAUAAUGUUUUAACCAUAUUUAACAAAACAAUGUUACAACUACAUAUUGAACGUAUAAGAAGAACAAUUAAAUUUUAGGAACAAAUUAGUUAUUAAUAUAUAUUUUUUUCAGACGUGGCUCUUACGUUUAUUAACCUUGGGAAAUCAUAGACAUAAAGUAGUGGUGUUCAAACUAUGUCCAACAAGUACGUUUUGUCUUUUUUCACACCAAGCAUGACUUCUGCUUGACCUAUUACAGCGUCCCACAAUUACCAAUAAGUUGGACUCUGUAAACUACUAAUGUGAAUCACAGAAAAUUGUAUAACAAUUUGAAAUUAAUUAUUUAAAAAAAAAAUCAAUUAUUAAGAAGUGAAUUUUAAGUUUAACUCAAUCUUAUCAAAUCAAAAUCGACUUAUAAAUUGAAGUUUGCACCCAAUUAUAUUUCAUAGUACAUCAUAAUUUAUAGUCGAUGUAAGAUCUUCAACAUACUCUCUUCAUGCAGAGGCGGUCAAUUUGAGCGUGAGAUUAUGUAUUUUUUUAUGGUUCGAUAGCGGUCCAAUAGCGGGUGGCCUGAUAAACCCAACAAACUUUCACUAUGACAGAAUUUAAGAUGACUCUGAUAUCUAUAUUAAUAAACGUACUUUAAGUCGAAUUCAAUCUUAUAAACGAAUUUAUAAGGUAAGAUUUACACCUACUUAUAUUUAUGUGGAUUCUCUACCAUCAUUAUUUUUUGUUAUUUUUUUUUCUAUUAUAUAAUAUUAGAGUUCUCGUGUGAAAAUUAUGACAAAAAUUUUCUUCUGUGGCAAAAAAAUAAUAAUUCUUCUUUCAUUUAUAACAUGAAGAAUAGUUUUGAUGAAACUAUUUUUGUCUUUUAUUUAAAGAUUAUACUAAUCCAUUUUUAUAUUUAUUGGAUCAAAAGUUAGUCAAGUUGAAUGGUAAAUUCUCCGAGGUGUGAAUGAUCUAUGAACUAUUUAGAAAGAUUUUGAAAGCAUGCAAUCACCUAAUACAUUAUACACGUCUCAACCAUGGAAGGAAGAACACAAAGAAAAAAAAUAAAAAUAAAAUCAAAUAGAUAAGGUGAAAAGGACAACAGAAUAUGACAUCCUGAUUUAAAAGAUAUAUGCAUUAUUAAUUCAUUACUUAAAAAAUCUUCUUAAGAAUAGAAUCUCAAUACAGCAUAAUCAGUUUCUAUUAAAUAAUAACUAAAUUUAGAGAUUAAAAAUAAUUAGUUAUUAUAUUAACUAAAUUAGAUACUAAUUUAAAAAUUAAAAAAUUAUCUAAAGUGAUUUCUAUUAUUACCAAAAAUUUAUAAAAUAAUUUAUAAAUUUGUAUCCAAAUUAGUUAUCUAAGUUUUAGUUUCUAAAAGACUAUUAAAGACUAAUUUAGAAUAUAAAGUAGUAAAUAACUAAAAUUUUAGUAACUAAUAAUUAGAUACUAAUUUAAAAUUUAUUUUAUAAUUUUUUAUUAAUAAUAAAAACUAUUUUAUAUAUUAAUAAUUUUUUAUUUUAUAAAAUAGUUUAUAAUUUAAUUAAAUAUUAACUAAUUAAAUAUUUAAUGAUUUUUCGUGUGAAGCUACUUAGUCACAAAAUAUCUAACUUAUUAUAUUUAAAGUGUAUAGGAAUAGAGUGCAGAAGUCUUCUAUUUAUAUGAUAAUAAAGCAUGUUCUAAAUCUUUCACACCCUCCUUCUCUUCACCAUUUUCAUUCUCUUCGUUACUACUCUUGUUGAGAUUCACAAACUUUUCUCACAAUUAUUCUUUGCAAACCAAAAUAGGUUUUCUUCUAUAAUUUGCUUGACUUGUUUUUUAGUUUUUUUUUUUGUUGUUGCUUAUAAUCAGUUUUGUGCUCUUGAUCAUUAUCACUUCUUAAAUUGGGCUUCGUUUUUAGUUCAAAAUUUGUGACAUUCAAUUUCUCUCCCUUUGGAUGGUUUUCACGGUAGGAAGAAGAGAUUGAAAAUUAUUCUCAGGUUUUUAAAGAUUAGAAGGGAAGGGAAGAAGAAAGGCAAAUAUUAUGGAAAGAGAAUUAAUGUGAGAAAGUAAUUGAUAGAUAAAUAAAAAUUAAUUCAUUAUAUUAACUUAUAUUUAUUAUGUUCCGAUCUCAAGUCGUUGGACAACAUCGUUAGGAUCAAUUAUCGCAUCCAAGGUAUUGUCCGCUUUGGAGGUUGGUGCUCCGUCACAGUUUUGUCCUUAAAAAACGUUUUUUAAGGACAAAACCGUAACGGAACACUGACCUCCAGACAAUACUCAAAUGUGAUGAUUGACCCUAGCGAUGUUGUCCAACAACUUGAGAUCGUAACAUUUAUGAAAAUAAGAUUGGAAAAUAAUAAGUUUUCAAUAUAUCACUUCUUUAUAAUUUAUUACAACAAACUCAGUUUAGUUUAGAGAAAGUUUUAAAAUGUGAAACUCCGCGGCCAAACCCAAGGCUUCCUUCCAUGAGUUCCACCCAAAGUGUAACGAGAAGAAUCCUCCGGAACCCAAACACGGUGGUUUCAACGUGCCAAGCCAAACAGCUCCACGCGCAAAUCGUGAAGGCCAGAGCAACGCCGCAUUCUCACUCCCUCGCAUGGCUCUGCAUCAUCAAAUGCUACGUCGCUCACGGCCUCCUCCGCCACUCCCUCGCCGCCUUCAACCUCAUGCGCGCUUCAGGCGUCUGCCCCCACCGCCACGCCUUCCCUUCCCUCCUCAAAGCCUCCACGCUUCUCAAACACUUUCCUCUCGCUCAGUCGCUCCACGCUUCCGCCAUUCGCCUCGGCUUCCACUUCGAUCUGUACACCGCCAACGCGUUGAUGAACGUCUACUCCAAAUUCCACUCUCACAACGUGUUCGACCAAUUUUCCCAAACGCUCCAAUACCAUAACAAUUAUAAUAAUACUAAUAGUGAUAAUAAUAAUUUUGCUGUGAAAAUUGAUUGUGUUAGAAAGGUGUUUGACAGAAUGCCUGUGAGGGAUGUUGUUUCGUGGAACACUGUUAUUGCUGGGAAUGCGCAGAAUGGAAUGUAUGAAGAGGCGUUGGACAUGGUUAGGGAAAUGGGAAGGCAAAACUUGAGGCCUGAUUCCUUUACUCUGUCUAGCGUUCUUCCUAUUUUUGCGGAGCAUGUUGAUGUUAUCAAAGGAAAGGAAAUUCAUGGCUAUGCCGUUAGACACGGGUUUGACAAGGAUGUUUUUAUUGGAAGUAGUUUGAUUGAUAUGUAUGCGAAAUGUACUCAUGUGGAGCUCUCGGUUCGUGCCUUUUACCUCUUGUCCAAUCGUGACGCCAUUUCGUGGAACUCCAUCAUUGCUGGCUGUGUGCAGAAUGGGAGAUUUGACCAGGGGCUCGGGUUCUUUCGUCUGAUGUUGACGGAGAAGGUGAAGCCAAUGCAGGUUUCAUUCUCGAGUGUUGUACCGGCUUGUGCUCACUUGACAGCAUUGAACUUGGGGAAGCAACUUCACGGAUAUAUAAUUAGACUUGGGUUUAAUGGUAACAAGUUUAUAGCUAGCUCUUUGGUGGACAUGUAUGCCAAAUGUGGUAAUAUUAAGAUGGCUAGGUAUAUUUUUGACAGAAUAGAGAUGCGUGAGCGUGACAUGGUUUCUUGGACUGCCAUCAUUAUGGGAUGUGCGAUGCACGGGCAUGCCCUUGAUGCAGUUUCCUUGUUUGAGAUGAUGUUAGUUGAUGGAGUGAAGCCCUGUUAUGUGUCAUUUAUUGGUGUUUUAACUGCCUGUAAUCAUUCUGGGUUGGUGGAUGAAGGAUGGAAGUAUUUUAAUAGUAUGAAAUCGGAAUUCGGUAUUGCUCCUGGUUUGGAGCACUAUGCUGCUGUUGCGGACCUUCUUGGUAGAGCUGGAAGAUUGGAGGAAGCCUAUGACUUUAUUUCUAACAUGGCUGUGGAACCAACGGGAAGUGUGUGGUCUGCAUUGUUAGCUGCUUGUAGGGCUCAUAAGAAUAUUGAACUGGCUGAAAAGGUUGUUGACAAAGUACUUUUGGUUGACCCUGAGAACAUGGGGGCGUAUGUUAUGAUGUCAAACAUCUAUUCAGCUGCCCAAAGAUGGAGAGAUGCUGCAAAAUUGAGAGUUAACAUGAGGAAAAAGGGCUUGAAGAAGACUCCUGGGUGCAGCUGGAUUGAGGUUGGAAACAAAGUACACACUUUUCUGGCUGGAGAUGAAUCACAUCCGUAUUAUGACAAAAUAAAUGAGGCGUUGAGUAUUUUGUUGGAACAGAUGGAGAAAGAAGGUUAUGUCCUUGACACAAAGGAGGUGCUCCAUGAUGUUGAUGAGGAACAUAAACGGAACCUGUUACGCACCCACAGUGAGAGACUUGCGAUAGCAUUUGGCAUCAUUAGCACUACUGCUGGUACUACCAUCCGUGUAAUAAAGAACAUCCGGGUGUGCGUGGAUUGCCACACUGCAAUUAAAUUUAUGGCAAAGAUUGUUGGCAGGGAAAUCAUUGUAAGGGAUAAUAGCCGAUUUCACCAUUUUAGGAAUGGGUCUUGUUCAUGUGGAGAUUAUUGGUGAAAUAGCAACUAUGACUAUAAAGGGGAAACCAAGCAUGUCGACAUUAUAGCUGCAUAAACAGUACUAAACUGAGAGGUGGAUUAAAAAUGCUACGAAAUCAGUGUAAAAAGGAUAGACUGUAAUCAAGGCAAAAAAUGGGUUAAGAAGUUGGCUGCCAAGCCAUAGAAGUCAUGCCAUCAAAAAUGCUUUUGAGAUAAGGCCUGUGUGCUCUCAGCUUUUUUAAGAGAUGGCCUGGGAAUUGGGAUUCUGAUUACACAUUGUCCAAUUUCAUGCAAGCAUUUUAAAUUGAGUACUGAUUCCCUACCUUAAACAUCAUUGUGAGUGUUCAAUUACUUUUACAAAUUUCUGUUGGGUUCAGCAGAAGGUCCUGUUUUUAUGUAUUUCAUUACCUAUUUGACUUCCUACAUAAUCAAUUCAACAAGAAAAGUUAAUAAACAGAUAUAAAAGACACGCAUUUGAGUUGUGUAUGUCAUUGAUGAGUGUUAACAGCACUCAUUGUCUUUCUCUGUGCCCUUAUACUGCCAUUGUAGAUUACAGGGAACUAAAUUAGUACUAGGAUUCAAGAACAUUAAUUUUUAAAGCUUGGGCUGUUUUUUUAGUUACAAUUCAGUAAAGAGUUCUUAGAGAUUAUGUCUCCUGUUUCUCUUCCAUAUUUUUCUUUAAAGAGCACUAAGACUUAUGAACAGAGCAAAAUGCAUUCAACUUCUUUCGUAUCUCUGAUGGAAGUACAUGGGUAGCCUUAUUGAGUAUCUGAUUAUCAUGUUUAUUGACUUCUUAAUUAUCCUUUCUUGGUGUCUAUAAACGUGACCAAGAAUUUUCUUGUUUUUCCAUUUUUCUUUCCAGACGCAGCUUGCUGAACGACAGCAAUCUUUUCUGCCCGACACAAGAUAACAUUCUUCAAGUAUCCUUUUUAAUGCAUUUUACAAGUAUUAUUUUUAUGAAUUAUUUAUGCUUUUCCUUUAUUAGUUAGUUACAUAAAUAUCAAAUAUUCCAUGGAUAUAAUAUGAAAAUUAAGGAAAACAGAAUAUUUAAAUUAUGCAAUUGCUUGCUAGUUCUUCUGAAUUAAUCAGCAAAAUAAGACUAACGAAUUCUCUGUUAAAAUCUACAAGAGAUAGUGAUACAGACCAACACAGAAAAUAAGAGAAAGGAGGUAAACGUGGUAUAUUAUGGAUACUGAAAAAGGGAAAAUACAGUAGGAGGCUACUGUCCAGAGCUAUGCUCCUAUAGAGAAUUAGCAUUCUCCAUUCUGCAAAACUGCAAUAUUCUUUCUCCCCCCCCCCAUUCUCAUGCUAAGCUGUGCCUAUAAGGAUACACGCCUCACACACCCACAAAUCCCGUAACUAAUUAUCACCCAACCUUUUCUUUCUCUCUCUCUCUCUGCCACCUCAUCAUGCUCUGUUAGCCUUUUCAAUUCUGUUUCUCCUAGUGUACACACGCCAUAUUCUAGGCCUAUGUAAACGUGGAUCAGCUUGAACAUUCUUUUGGGCCCAUGAAUCAUUUUGGGUUCUAUCAAUUCCACCUUCUUGAGAUACAACCUUGUCCUCAAGGUUAAAAGCGGGAAAUUGAUUGAGAAUUGUGAGUUCAUCUUCCCAUGUUGCUUCAUCUUUUGAUUUGCCUUGCCACUUGAUCAAACACUGCUUCACCUCGUCGUCCUGCAGAUACUCUGUUCUGCUAGCUAACACCAAUUCUGGUUCUGCUGUCUCAACAAUUUCACCAGACAGACUCUCAGGAAGGUCUUUCUCCACCUGGCAAGUUCCCACUGCUUUCUUCAGUAAGGACACAUGAAAUACUGGAUGAAUACGUGAGCUGUCGGGUAGUUGAAGCUUGUAAGCAACUGAACCAAUGCAUUCCAACACUUGGAAAGGUCCAUAAAAUCUAGCAGACAAUUUAGGAUUGAUUCGAUGAGCUACGGAUUGCUGUCUAUGUGGACGUAAUUUCACAAAAACCCAAUCCCCCACUUCAAAUUUCUGGUCAUGUCGCUUCUUAUCAGCUUGAGCCUUCAUCCUAACUUGUGCUCUGAGUAAGUGGCCUUUUAAUUGUCGUAACGCUUCAUCCCGGUCCAACAGCUCCUGCUGAACAGCCUCUACCUUAGUUUCUCCGACAGCAAAUCGAAGUAAAGUUGGGGGUUUGCGUCCAUAAACGAUCUCAAAUGGGGUGACCCCAAUGGACUCAUGAAAGGUAGUAUUAUACCAAUACUCCGCCCAAUGCACCCACUGGAUCCAUGUUCGUGGCUGGUCAGCAAUAAAACACCGUAAGUACGUCUCUAAGCAACGGUUAACGACCUCUGUUUGUCCAUCCGUUUCGGGAUGAUAAGCUGUACUCAUGGUAAGGUGAGUUCCCUGCAACUUGAACAACUCCUUCCAAAAGUUGCUGACAAAGAUAGGAUCGCGGUCACUUACAAUAGACUUCGGUGUUCCAUGUAAACGAACCACUUCCUUGGUAAAGUGUUCUGCUACCACUCUAGCUGUGUACGGAUGCUUGAGGGGAAUAAAAUGAGCAUACUUGGAUAGGCGGUCCACGACCACAAACACCGAGUCAAUUCCCUUCACCUUUGGUAAUCCAUUGAUAAAAUCCAUGGAUAAGUCAUCCCAAAUUUUUUCUGGAAUAGGUAGAGGCUGUAAUAAUCCACCGGGAGUGGUUGCCAAGUACUUCUGCCUCUGACAAACAUCACAACUCCUGACGUAUUCUUGAACAGCUCGUUUCAUCCCUAUCCAAUAGAUGUUGGCAGCCAACUUCCUGUAGGUACGGUAAAAACCCGAAUGCCCUCCUUGAGGGGUGGCAUGGAAUUCGUGAAACAACUUUGGGAUCCACAUGGACUGAGCUGAAAUUCUAAGCGCCCUUCAUAGUAUAAAACCCCUUCUCUAUAUGAGAAACCAGGUUUACUUGUGGUAUUUGCUUUGAGUGCUGCAAUGAUAGUAGCCAAAGCCUCAUCUUGAUGAACCUCCUCCAUUAACUGCCCUCCGUCACUCCACACAGGGUAAGAAAUUAAAGAAUGCAACUCCCCUGUCUCGUACAUUCUGGACAAAGCAUCUGCCCCUCCGUUCGUGGCCCCUGGUUUAUAAACAAUGUCAAACUGGUACCCCAAAAGCUUGGCAGCCCAAUUCUGUUGGUCCAUGGUGGAAAUCCGCUGAUGCAAUAGCUGCCGCAGACUCUUUUGAUCAGUAUAUACAAUAAAUUGCCUACCUAACAAAUAAGGGCGCCAGUGCUGCACAGCCAAGACAAUUGCCAUCAAUUCCUUUUCAUAUGCUGACUUUGUCUGAUUUCUUUCACUCAAAGCCUUGCUAAAAAAAGCCACAGGUCUGGAAUUCUGCAUAAGAAUUGCCCCUACUCCACAGCCCGAAGCAUCACUUUCAAUGAUGAAAGGUUGUGAAAAAUCAGGUAGAGCAAGAACUGGGGCUGUUGUCAUCUUUAUCUUCAAAGUGUCAAAUGCUAGCUGAGAUCUAGGAUUCCAGGUGAAUCCAUCUUUCUUGGUCAGCUCCGUCAGGGGACGUGCUAUCCUCCCGUAGUCCUUGACAAAUUUCCGGUAAUAUCCGGUAAGUCCCAGAAAGCCUCGCACACCUUUCACAUUUUUGGGAGUUGGCCAAUUGAUGAUACUAGCAAUCUUGGCAGGAUCCAUAGUCACCCCUUGUUGAGAAACCACAUGACCCAAAUACUCUAUUGAACACUGAGCAAAAGCGCACUUCUUCCUGUUGACAACCAACUUCUGGUCACGUAAGAUCCUCCACACUGUGGAAAGAUGCUGAAGAUGGGAUGGCCAAUCGUGACUGUAUACCAGUAUAUCAUCNNNNNNNNNNNNNNNNNNNNNNNNNNNNNNNNNNNNNNNNNNNNNNNNNNNNNNNNNNNNNNNNNNNNNNNNNNNNNNNNNNNNNNNNNNNNNNNNNNNNNNNNNNNNNNNNNNNNNNNNNNNNNNNNNNNNNNNNNNNNNNNNNNNNNNNNNNNNNNNNNNNNNNNNNNNNNNNNNNNNNNNNNNNNNNNNNNNNNNNNNNNNNNNNNNNNNNNNNNNNNNNNNNNNNNNNNNNNNNNNNNNNNNNNNNNNNNNNNNNNNNNNNNNNNNNNNNNNNNNNNNNNNNNNNNNNNNNNNNNNNNNNNNNNNNNNNNNNNNNNNNNNNNNNNNNNNNNNNNNNNNNNNNNNNNNNNNNNNNNNNNNNNNNNNNNNNNNNNNNNNNNNNNNNNNNNNNNNNNNNNNNNNNNNNNNNNNNNNNNNNNNNNNNNNNNNNNNNNNNNNNNNNNNNNNNNNNNNNNNNNNNNNNNNNNNNNNNNNNNNNNNNNNNNNNNNNNNNNNNNNNNNNNNNNNNNNNNNNNNNNNNNNNNNNNNNNNNNNNNNNNNNNNNNNNNNNNNNNNNNNNNNNNNNNNNNNNNNNNNNNNNNNNNNNNNNNNNNNNNNNNNNNNNNNNNNNNNNNNNNNNNNNNNNNNNNNNNNNNNNNNNNNNNNNNNNNNNNNNNNNNNNNNNNNNNNNNNNNNNNNNNNNNNNNNNNNNNNNNNNNNNNNNNNNNNNNNNNNNNNNNNNNNNNNNNNNNNNNNNNNNNCACUCUUUGUUGUGUUGGAAUCUCAUGGUCUGCUUUCCCCAAUCCACCACCAUUUCUCCUAAGGUAGCCAGCCACGACAUGCCCAAAACCACAUCAAUGCCUUCUAAAUCAAACAGCAAGGUAUCCACAAAUAAUUUAAUUCCCUCUAAUUCAAUUUCCACCUGCUUACAUUCUCCUCUGGCUACAACCUUAUGACCAUCUCCCAAGCGAAUUCUCAUUUCCUUAGUGAGUUCCACUUCCCAUCCCAUGGUUUGAACCAACCUCUUAGAAAUGAAGUUGUGUGUUGCCCCACUGUCAACUAAAAUCACAAUGGGUACUCCCUUAAUUGCACCUUCCAAUUUCAUUGUCUGGGGUUGAACAGUACAUGUCUGCAGGCUCAAUACAGUGCAUUCACCAUCAAUUUCCAGGUUCUCUUCUUCCAUCUCCGUUGAAAUCAAAGCCUGCGCUUCACCUUCUUCCUCAGAUUCUUCUAACACCAUUAUCCUCAAUUGUUUAUCCGGACAUUGGUGAAGGGGGUGAAAUUUCCCCCCACACUUAUAGCAUAACCCUUUCUGCCUUCUUUCCAAAAGUUCCUGGUAAGGAAGAUGGCGGAUUCCACGAUCCUUCUGUGUUGCACGUGAUUUUUCUGUCGCUGGUAGCCGCCCCUGUUUUUCAUCGUUGUUUUGGAUCAUUACCCAGCCUUGACCCUGUUCACGGCCCACCGAAACUGGCCCAUUCAUAGUGGGGUGGGUCGACAUAUUGUAUUGACCAGACCCAUACCCGAAUCGGGGACCCAUACCUUUCGACCCAGUGGCAACCCGAUUGCGACCCUGCAACUCGUUCUCUACUGCCUUCGCCAAUGUAAUGAGGCGUGAACGUGGCAACGGCCCCAUCGCACGCAUACUCCUCACUCUCGCACGAAUAUCAUCGCGCAACCCAUGGAUGAAAUACCCAAAAUAUUGUUCAUCUGGUAAUUUUGGGAUCUGGGCUAUUAAACGUUCAAAUUCCAGAACGUAGGUGUCCACUGAACCAUUCUGCUGGAGUGAAGACAAUUGUUCAAAGACAUCUCCCUCACUAGUGCUUCCAUAACGCUCCAGCAACUCUUGGAUGAGUUUCUCCCAAGUCAAACCAGAAUCCAGAUGCAGCAGAGAAUUGAAGAAAUGAAUUGUAGAUCCCUCCAUACAAAGAUGGGCUAAGUUCACUCGUACCUCAGGACUGGUUUCCAUGACAUGAAAAUAGACCUCUGCUCUAGCAAUCCAUCCAGCAGGGUCUUCACCAGUGAACAUCGGCAGUUCGACCUUCUUCACUGAUUGACGAAACUCGUCCAACAGUUCUCCGUUCAGCUUCAACCAUCCUGAGCCAAACGUCGGUCCGCCGGAAUCUCCUCUUUCCUCACCGUUCCGAUUCUUGUUUCCGCUACUNNNNNNNNNNNNNNNNNNNNNNNNNNNNNNNNNNNNNNNNNNNNNNNNNNNNNNNNNNNNNNNNNNNNNNNNNNNNNNNNNNNNNNNNNNNNNNNNNNNNCAAUUACAAACUCUGGCUCAGCAUCGCCAAUAGUUGUUCCUGGUUACUCUCAGCCUUCAAUUGCAUUGUGUUGAGUGUUGCACGUAGGUUAGCAACUUCAUUUUCCAGAGCAGAUACUUUGGCUUCCAUCUUCUUCGGUGGCAUUCGUCAGAAUUGUCACACCUCCUAGCACUGGUUUCUUCCUCGCAGAUCCGGCAGGUCGGACCAGUUUGAUACAGACCAACACAGAAAAUAAGAGAAAGGAGGUAAACGUGGUAUAUUAUGGAUACUGAAAAAGGGAAAAUACAGUAGGAGGCUACUGUCCAGAGCUAUGCUCCUAUAGAGAAUUAGCAUUCUCCAUUCUGCAAAACUGCAAUAUUCUUUCUCCCCCCCCCCAUUCUCAUGCUAGGCUGUGCCUAUAAGGAUACACGCCUCACACACAGUAACUAAUUAUCACCCAACCUUUUCUUUCUCUCUCUCUCUCUGCCACCUCAUCAUGCUCUGUUAGCCUUUUCAAUUCUGUUUCUCCUAGUGUACACACGCCAUAUUCUAGGCCUAUGUAAACCUGGAUCAGCUUGAACAUUCUUUUGGGCCCAUGAAUCAUUUUGGGUUCUAUCAGAUAGAAGUAUUUUUCUGAAGGAAAUCAGCAUUCUACCAAUUUGCUAGCUAUCUUAUGGAUUCACAUUUUUCCAGCUUGAGUUGAGAUCAAUAAAACUUUAAGCAUUCACAAGGCUCCUAUUUGUUUAUACUUUUCAGCAGAGUUGGGAAAUUAUGGUAAAAAGCUGCUUUAGAUUGUUCUGUAUUGUUGUCAAGAAAAAAAAAAUUGAAAAAUGAAGGAAUUUGUAAUUCUUGUAUAACUGUCUGUAGUUCUUGAGUGCAUAAAUUAAACAGUAUUUCAUCCUUUGGUGAUUCCAGAGUAUUUCCCCUAAUCUUUAGUCCUUAACGUUAAACCAGAUCAAAUAUCCAAAUCUUGGUAGAUAAGAACCCCUCAUUUCUCUGGUGAUCAUGGAGGUUGCAGAUUUAAGGGUCAGAGACUCAGAAGGUAAAUCUUGGUGUUUAGAUUCCAUGAAUAGCUUCUCAUUCAUAGUUCUUGGGUCAAUAAUCUCAUGGAAGAAAUUUCCUCUUCAUUUCUAGGAAUAAAGGGGUAAGUCUAAUAAUGCACAAGGUUAUAACCAUUUGAUGCCCCAUGGAGGUUCAAAUAUUUCACUUUAUUCCAGCAUGCAGAGAGGUUGUUUUUGCAAGAUCAAAUUCAGUUCAGAGGGAAUGUAUAGGACAUAAUCAGCCAAGACAGGUUAUUGGCUAUCAAUCUGUUCUACAUAACCACAUAAACUUUACGUGCAUAGGAGGUGCUGAAUUUGGACCUUCACAUUCAUGAGAAAAUCCAAUUUCUCCUUUUAUUCUGUUUGAGGGCAUCCAUUAAUGCUUUUCCAAAAUGCUCAUGGUUUAGCUAGUUCUUUUGCUGCCAGCAUUUUACUUAUUCUUUCUGUAUCAAGCUGUUUGUGGAAUGGUAUCUCGUCUGGAGAUGUAUUAUUGUUCGCUCUGUGUUAUAGUCUAAAUCUUUUUUUUUUCUAUAUUGAUGGUACCCACUUGUGAUUGCACACUGCUACAGAUCUUUGCUAGAAGAAGCUCUUUGAAUGAUGGUUCAAUCUCCAAAUGUGGAGGGAGGUCAACUUCUGUUCACACUUAGCUGAACAAAGGUGACACGGUUAUGCUGCUUCUUAAAAUCACUUCAUAUUUUAGGCUAACAUAGUAACAUCAUUAAAAAUAAUUACAUUUAAAUUUCAUAAAAAAAAUUGAUUAAGCAAAUAAUUUUCCAAUCAAAACAAUAAAGAAUAAAGUUAAAAAAACAAGUUUGAAUAUUAAAAUAUCAAUAUUAAUAGUAGUGAAGGAGGUAUAAUGUGAAAAAGAAUUUCAUACUCAUCUGUGAUUUGCUAACUAGACUUAGGCUAAUUCUUCCUGUAAUCAUUUUUUUAAAAAUCCCAAAUUGUUUUUUUACCUUUUUGGAAUUUUUGCAUCUGAAAAAAAAAGGUUUUCAGAUCUUGACCUCAGGAAGUUCCUGUAUUGCAGAUGAUCAUAUCGGAUGGUACAUCUCAAUUCAUAUUUAGAAGUUCAUAUUCAGAAUAACUGUUUAUUUGUGUUUCGAAUAUAAUUAUUCAGAAAAUUAAAACAUUUUUUGUACCGUACAUGUUACAAUUUAUCUGGUGCAGGGAAAGUUAGUCCUAGACUUAAAAACAUCAGAGAGCCAAAGGUAUAAAUUCCAACAACACAACUACUCACUAUUGGUAGUAGUCAAACCCAACUCAUCACACAAUAAAAACAUGUCUACAUUACCUAUUUUUCAUUAACUUUUUCCUGUUCUUAUUAUAGGUCAAAAUAAACUAAACAACAAACUGAAUAAUGUGUAUGUCAGAAAAAAUAAUGUGGACUUGACUUGCCUGUUGAUCUGACUACAGAUAAAUAAAAUAUUUUUGACAUAUUCUUUUUAAAAUAUUUUUAUUACUAAAUUUUGUGUGGGUUUUAUUAAAAGAGAAGCCAAUGACUUUAAAAAAUAUCAGUAUGGAACUUACCUUGUCUAAUAUUAAAUAAGAUGUUAAAAUGAAUGUGUGAAAUAGUAAGUUGUAAACAUUUUUAUUUACAAAUUAGUAAAAUUCAUUAUUUAAAGAUUCAAAUCACUCACAAAAUAAAUAAAUUAUUGUCUUUAAUUAUUUCAAUUGAUUAAACAAAUGAUAAGGAAUAAAAAAACAGGUAACAUAAACAAAAACAAAGUAGAAAAUAACAAUUUCAUGAUUUAAUUGGUUGAACUUUUUAUAAUGACUUGAAUGAUUGAAUUAAACCAUUCAAUCUGGUAAUCAAUGAAUUCAACAACAAAUGUCAUAUUUGUAUGACCUAAAAAAAUUAAAUUUGACCGUGUGGGUGAACGAAUUUAUUACAUCAUUAAGUUGUUCUUGCGUUCACUUCUGUGUUUUAAUGAAUUUUUUUCACCAAUAUUAAAUAACUAGCUAACUCUUUCUUAAGAAGCAAAGAAAAAUAAUUUUUUAUUCAGCUAAAUCAUAAAUCAUUCAUAAAAUAAAUAAUAUGCUUGUCCAUAAAAUUUACAUAAUUUAACAAAAAACAUAAGUAUAAAUCAAAAUAAUAAAAAUUUCCUCAUAGUAAACAAAAAUUGUUAAAAUAAUAGCUUGAACCAUACUGUAGAACAAAUCAAAUCUAACUUAUAGCACAUUUAGUAUUGAAUGAUUUUGAAUCUAAACAUAUUAGAAAAAUCUUCAGUCAUAGAAUAAAUCAAAUCCUGCUAAAAAAAGUCUUGACCUAACAAAAAUUUAUAAAUAAUUGAAAAUAACUUUAUUUUGACAUAACAAUACUUACAAAUUGUAUUAUAAGUAUAUUUUUAUUUAAAAAUUUCACAUUGAAAAUAUGUAAAGUUUUUAAUAAAAAGUAAAUUUUAAAAAUAAAGCUUCAAAUUUAAUUGGACAAAAAUAACUAUAUCUGUGAUACCAUUAUACAAAAUGUAAAUAAAGUUUGAGCACAGUUCAUCUGUAAUGCAUUUUAAUUUUCAAAUUCAUUGUUUAUAAUUUCAGUGACUUACACAUAUUUAUAUAAUUUUUUAAAAAAUGAAACUUAUGUAAUUCAACCUUUUGAGUUGGACGGAGAAGGAUGACUCCUUGUGCAAGUAAUACAGAAACGAUAUCGUACGAGUGUUUAACCGAACCAAACCAAAAUAAAUUAAAAUAUUAGAAUAGUAAAAUAAACUAUAAUAAAAAGGACAAAACUUGAUGAAAAAGUUAUACCAAUAUUAUUUUUUAAUUUAUAUUUAUAUAAAAUAUCUGAAGUCUGGUUUGAUUCGAAAACCCCCAAAAAAGAAAAAGGUUGGAAAGUGCUAUGACGGUACAUAAGGAGCCGCAUGGAAAUUUCAUUUCAUUUAAUUUGUAGUUUACAACUUUGAACUCGUCUCUUCAGUUCCCUUUUCUCACUCUUCUCUUUUCUUCUUCUUUGUUGUAUUCGCGAUGGUGAAAUCGAACGAAAACGGUUCCGCUUCGGUUCCUCCGUUCUUGAAAAAAUGUUACGAUAUGGUGGAAGACCGGAGCACGGACUCCGUUAUCCGUUGGAGCGACGCCGGUGACAGUUUCGUCAUCUCCAACACCACUCAAUUCUCCGUCACGCUGCUUCCUACCUAUUUCAAACACAACAAUUUCUCCAGUUUUAUUAGACAACUCAAUAUUUAUGUUCGUCUCUUUCACUCUCUGCUUCGGUUCAGAAUUAUUGUUUCUUAGUUCUUUGUUUCUCUUAGUUAUCCGAAGAUAAAUAAAUAAAUAAAUAAAUUAUUAUUUGGUAUGUUUGUAAUUCGUUUUUCAUCUGAUUGUGUGAUUCAUAAAUUGGCUGCAAUUUCUAUAGUGUUUUGAAAUCGUUGGCGGUGUUGCAAGAAUUAGGUUAUGGUUUGAUGCAGAGACUCGCUGUUUGAUGCAUAUAAUUCUUGCAUGCACUUGAAAACCCUAUCUGUUGAGUGAGUCUUUGAACUUGUGCACAACUAGAUGCAAAAUAAAUUGGUGUUUGAUGGCAUGAGGUUUAUCCGCUCAAUAGUUUGUUCUGUACUUAAGUAUUAUUUUGGAGUAGUGUUCAUACUGUUCCUUUUAUUUGAUUAUUCAUUCUUUUUGACCUUGCAUCUUAGAAUAGUGUUCAUACUGUUCAUACAAGUUCCUUUUGUCUAGUAAACUCAAUUUGGAUUUGGUUGCCUCCAAAGUAUGUAUUUGCACUUACAUUUUAGCUUGAACCAAUGUUUUUGAAAGCGAUGUCAAGGUUGCUUAUGUGAAUCAAAAGCGUGUUUGGUUUGGAUAUCUAUUAGUUGCUUAUGCAAACUAAUGUUCACUCAUUCUAAAGCAUGAAGAAGAGAAACAAAAAUUUCUGUCUUGCAGGUUGAAUGUAGAUUUAGAUAAUUGCAAUUGAUAGUCGAACACACUAUCAAUUUGGAGAAUUAGAUUACUUCAAACUUUAAGUUUACAAACUUUUUUUCAAAGCACAAUCUUAGAAAAAAAAAUUAUGUGCCUAGUAUUUGGGGUGGGCUUCUUGUUGACUGAUAAAUUAAAAGCAUCUUAAAUAACAGAAGCUACAACAUCUAAGGAGUAUCGGCUUGUUUAUAUUGAUAGGCUUGUUUGAUAUGCUUGUUUAUAUUGAUAUGCAUGUUGGUGCUUCUAUCUGUUUGUUCCUUUAUAUCUUGUCAUUUGUUAAGGUUGAGGAGAUUCUUUUAACUGCAACUAAUUGGUAACUGAAAUAUCUAUCAGGGUUUCAGGAAAAUUGAUACAGAUUGCUGGGAAUUUGCCAAUGAAAACUUUGUUAGGAAUCAAAAGCAAUUGUUGAAGAAUAUACGCAGAAGAAAACAUCCACACAUUGCAGAUCAACAAAAAGCAUUGCCUCUGAAUGACAAUUGUGAUGAACCACCCCAAGAGGCACCGGAUCAUGGCCUUUGGAAAGAAGUUGAGAAUCUCAAAUCUGAUAAAAAUUCGCUUACCCAGGAGUUGGUCAAACUCAGGCAACACCAGGAAUCUGCUGAGAGCAAUUUGCUGCUCCUGAGUGAUCGCCUUCAAGGAAUGGAAAAGCAUCAGCAACAGAUGUUAUCAUUCUUAGUCAUGGUGGUGCAAAGCCCUGGGUUCCUGGUUCAAUUGCUUCAUCCCAAGGAAAAUAAUUGGCGUUUGUCUGAAUCAUGGAAUAUAUUAGAUCAAGAUAAACAAGAUGACAAGCCAAUUGCUUCUGAUGGGAUGAUAAUAAAGUAUAAGCCUCCUGUAAGUGAAAAACUCAAGCCUGUAGUUCCUCUAUCUCCUGCUUUCGAAAAAGAACCCGAGCUCUCUGCAGAUGGGCUAAAAGACUUGUGCAUUAGUGCUGACUUCAUGAAAGUGCUUCUGGAUGAAAAACUGUGUCCAUUAGAAAGUCAUUCUCCAUUUCUCCUACCAGAUUUACCUGAUGACGGUUCAUGGGAACAGCUUUUUCUAGGCAGUUCUUUCCUGGGAAACAUUGAAGAUUCUAGUAAAGAAAGUGAGGGGCACACGGAUAGUGGAAUGGAAAUUGAACCGACAAUAUCAGAUAUUCCUGAUGAAAAUUCUCGAGCUUUUGAAUCGAUGGUUGUAGAGAUGGAGAGAACUCGAGAAUGAGAGGGAAUUUGGAGACGCCAAAGUUUGGAAUCUCAUACUGAGCUAAUGGAGUUUUUGUUUCUGAAACUAACAAUAUAUAGGGAUGGAAGCAAUAAUGACCAUAAGAUAUUUUUCAGCUGGGCUGUCUUCACAAAUUACUUCGCACCAUAAUUAUAUUAUAGUAUUAAGUCGCAAUUAUUUUCUCUCCCAUCUUUGUUGCUAGAAAUCCUCAUCUCCAAUCCGUGUAAGCCUGCUCUCAUUCAUCUGUUGAGAUGCUAAAUAUACAUGUUAAUUUUUUGUGUGUUCUUUGAUAGAAUGCUUAACAUAUUCUUAAACUUUGAAGGUUCUGUUGAUAUGGUGCUGUUCUUAAGGUUCAAUUUGUAUCUGAAAACUAAUUCUGAUUUUCCUGGUGGACAGGUUUUGCCAUCCUGAUACAUAUGAGAAUGGGAGAUGUCUGGUAGUGCGGCUACCUUUAUUUUUUGCAUAUUAUUGGACAUGCCUUCAUAUAAUGCAAGCAUUCUACUUCUGCAUUUUAUUUUAUUGCAGAAGCCAGUGCUUGUGACAUGCUCUUUUCCUUCUCUCUCUUGGAGUUCUCAUGCCUCUGAACUCAUGUUUGUGUUUGAUAUGGCGGCCAAGAGAUGUUGUUGCCCCCACAAAAAGGGACAUCAUGGUACGACAUCAUUUUUUUGCUUUAUUAACUUCAAAACAUUUUUGGGUGCUUCAUGGGUACAUAUAAAUUCAUCACGAGUCUGGGAAACGAGAAAUUCUCGAAAAGAACAUUACUUCGUAAGCUAUUACCUCUUUUCCUUAAUCAACACUAGAUUAAAAUAAUAACUAUGUUAUUUUUUAAAACAAUUUUACUCUAUCAAUGCAUUAUUUAUAUAAGUUUCAAAUAUGUUUUUAAAUAUUAAAACUGUAGUUAUUAUGAAACAGGAAUAAAUAUGUCUUCAUUUUUGUAUAAAUUACUAUUUAACUAAUUAAUAAUAAAAGCCAUAAUAUUUCGAAUGUUUAGUUGUUGGUGACUUAACGGGCAUCCAUGUAAGGAAAAACAAAUAAAUGAAUAUCUAUUUUACAAUAUUAUGUAAACAACAAUAGGAGAAUAGUUAUCUUAUGACUUCUUAAUUGUUUUAUUUUUUAAAAUUUUAUUGUAAUGUAUUAAUUACUUUUAUACAACUUUCUUUGAUGUAGAAUGUUAUGAGCAUUUACUUGUUGGUAGAAAUAGGUGUUUUUAAUGCAAGAUUGUUAAAAUGUAAGAAGGUCUAACCUAUGAUCCAUUAUUUUAUUUAAAAUUUAAAAUUUUAUAUUAUAUUAUAUUAACAUAUUUUAAUAAGGUCACUUAAUGCUUAAAUCUUAAAUUUAUAACAUAUACUGUGGUUAAAAUACCUAGAUAAAAAUGUUUUGGGUUUAAAGUGACUUUUUCUUUAUUUAUAGAAUACUGAAAAGUAAUUUUCUUACCAAUAUAUGAAUGAAUUCUUUUAUAGUAUUUUACUCUAUUUUGCAUAGAUCAAAGUUUAUUUGUAUAUACUUAAAAUUUAUAAUAAACCUUAUAUAUAUAUAUAUAUGACAUUAUAAUUGAAAUUACUUUUAAGAUAAUAUUAUUAUUAUUUUGAAAUGAAUUUUGUAAAUUAUCUUGAAUUUUCACUAAACCAUUUUAAUUGUGACAUAAUACUAUUUUUAAUUACUACCGAUGUUUUAAGAAAAAUAAUUAUAAAAAGGGGCAUAAAAGAUGGGUGAUGAAUAGUAUGAAGAGCAAGUACACUGUUCUUUUGGGUGUGUCAUUCAUCCAAUCCAACAUUAAGCUUAUGAUCACGUGUAACUCAAUCGAGAGCGUGUUUCUUCCUGCACCUCUCAAAGUUCUUCCUGCACCUAUUAAUAUCUAAAAAGACGAUGUUAUCCCUUUUUAAAUGAUUUCUGUAUUAGUUUUUCAGAAUUUCCCAGAACACUCAUUUCUGGAAUUUAUACGUAUAUUCAAGAAAGAAUUUCUGGAAUGUGGAUAAUACGUUAUGGAUGGAAUGUGUUUUCUGGAAUAGUUUUUACAUAAUAUAUUCUGAAAAGAGAUCUUCAAAGGGAUAGAGGAAGAAACAACCCUCAUUCAUGUCACUAAUUAGCCUUUUGGUUAGACAAUCCACAACCCUACAAAGAAAUUAAGUUUCUUCAAUAUCAAUUUUAAUUUAAAAACUUUUACUUACAUCUUUUAUUUUUCUUUAAUAUAUUAGUUUAAUGAAUAAUUCAGUUUUUUUUUCUCUCUCUCUCUAGUAUAUAUUAGUUAUUUUAAAAAAAUACUAUAUUCCAACUAUUCUUAUAUUUACCAUAUCGAAUUAAGAUGUCUAACUUAUAUUUCCUAUGCAAAGUAUUAUUUUAAAUAAAUUAAAAAUUGUUUAGUAAAAAUAAUCUAAUAUCGUGUAUUCAACUGAGAAACAAAUUCAAAAGAUGGCAUACAUUGUGGAAAAACAAUCAUGCUUUAUUUCAUGUGGAAAAAAUAUAUUUUUAUCCUCCACCAAUAUUUCUCUUUAAAAAUGCCAUCAUUAAUAUAUUAUGAGAUAGUAAAUGUAAGUACAUCUUCCAACAACAAUUCAAGCUUUGAUUUACUACCUUUAAAUUUAUUUUCUGAUUCUAGUUUACUAAUAUUACUUUCUUAUUCAUGGUAUUGUACCUAUUUUGAAAGGCUUAAUUGAAUGUAUUGUAUUUCAACUAUCAUAAUCUCUUAAAUUUUAUCAUGUCAACUAUUUUAUUUAUACAAUUUUUUCAUCUAAUUUUUAAAUUGUCAAAAUUUUACCUUGUGGUGGAUGGAAGGAAAAGGCCAAUAUAGACUGAUGACAACAUGAAAAUACACAAACUAAUGGCAUUACCAUAAACCCACAAAUAUUUGAAUAAAAAAUAAAAAUUUAAAUAAAAUGUGCAAAAAAAACUUAUCUUAUAAAAAAAUAAAAUUUCAAAACAAUUAUCAAUAUUCUAACUAAAAAAAAUAAAACUACAAAUAAAUCAUAUUGAAUAGUAAGUAGGUAUAAACACGUGUAAUUGAUGGAGAAUUUGUGAUACAAAAAAAAGAAUGGUAGAGAAUUAUCUUUUCAGUAUUGACCAAUGGGUAGACUGCUAUCACACCACUUUCGGAAAUUUUAAGAUAACAGCUCUUCUAAAGAAUAUGGUUUACAUUCUUUAAAAUUUAAUAGAAAUAUAUUGAAUAAUUUUAUAUCAUCUAAUAACUUUAAUUACAUAAAUGCAUAAAAUUGGGGAAAAUAAAAAUAAAAAUACAGUUAAGGAUCUUCUUUGUAUUAAAAUUAUUUUAAUAAUUUAUAAAAAAAAUUAUAAAAAAAUUUAUAAAAACUUUCAUAUCAGACAAAUAACUUUAAAUAUUGCUUACUACUGUUUUUUUUUUUAGUUUUACAAGUCCAUACAAAAAUAAACUAAAUAAAUAAACUUGUGAGGAUAAAAUAAAAAAGGAUGACAAAAUGGGUGGGUUGAUACUUUUACAAAAAAAAUUUAUAGUAUAUGUAUACAAUUUUAAAACUUAUUCAUUAAAAUAAAAAAGAACUGAUUGUAGUAGAAAUUAAUUUAUUUUAGCAGUGUAUAAAACACUAACCACACAGUAGUUGAGAAGAAAAACUAUCUUUCAACAUAAAAGAAUGGUAGAGGAGAAUCUGUAAAUAAUUGCUAGUAACACAUUUUAAUAUAUUCUUUCUAUCAUCUUUUUUAUUAGUUAAAAUUUAUUAUUUUCGAAAACUGUUAAAAUAUUUUUUUUGAGUUUCUUAUUUGCAUCUUAGUCCUCAAGAAACUGAACAAUUAUAACUUAUAAUCCUUUUGGUCUAAUAUUUUAUAUAUGGAAUAUCUAGUUCAUAUUAUUUUGAAUUUUAUUAUUUAAAUGAAACUUACUUAAGCAAUGUAUGACCCCUCAAGCAAGGAAGUUUGUUUCCCAUUGUGGAAAGAAAGAUCAUUGAAACAAUAUGAUCUUGUUGAAGUGAUGAGUUAGUGAGAAUGUAUAUAUGAAUUAGACUAAUUAUAUAUUUAUAUGAGAUAUAUUAUUAAUGUGUGAUAUGCAUAUGGUGAUAAUGAUAAAGUGAGAUAAUUAGGAGGUAUGAGAUAUAUGUAUAUGUUGAUGAUCUAAUCAAAUAAAUUAAAACAUUAAAUAGUUCAAAUGUAAAUAAGAUUCAUGUAUCAUGUUUGGAUAAAUAAGUGUUAAUAUUUGAUAAGACAUGUUUAUUAUCAAUGUAUUUUUUUUAUAAAACAUAUUUUUUAUAUUAAAAGAAAAUAUUUAGAAUUAAAUUAAUAUUAUUUUGUAAUACAUGUAAAUAUUUAUCUUUAAAAUAUGUAAGUGUAAAUGUUAUGUUAUAGACUAAUUAUGAAUAAAAAAUAAUGUAUCCAUAAAUAAUGAUAAUUUUAUUUAUAUUAGAACAUGUAACGAUAAUAACACAAAUAUUAAUACGAAGAUAGGAUAACAUUAAGAAUAACAUUUUUAUCUAAACAUAAAUAAAAUAAGUACAUAUAAUAAUGAUAAAAAAUAUAUAAAAUAAUGAUAAAAAUAAAAUACAAAAUAUUAAAAAAAAUAUUAAUAAGAAAAAUUCAAAAUAAAUAUUAAAAAUAACAAUUUUAUCUAAAUUAUAUGAUAAUUCGAUGGGAGUGAAUGAUAUAAAAAAUUUAAAAAAGAUAAAAUAAACCUUAAAAAUAAUUAUUUUAUCUUAAUUAUAUAAACAUAUAUGAAAAUGAAAACUUAUAAUGAAUAAAUAUUAAUAAAAAAUUAGCAUAAAUCUUUAAAUAACAAUUUUAUCUAAAUUAUAUAGAGACGUGAAAAAAUAUAUUUAACCAUGAUAAGGUAAAAGUUGUCAUAUGAAAAUGAAUGCCGUACAAUUAUAUCCAUUACCAUUCUUACGGAGCACACACCAACCAAGUCAUUUUUCUCAACCAAUCUUAAGAUGACACGUGUCUCUAGAAUCCAACAAAUGACACUGUCUCUAACUUCGCAUUUACUCGUUCUGUUCACUAAUAAAAGUGGGUUGCUACAUUUUUAAAAAGAAAAUCAUUUAUCAUUUACAUUUUUAUUAUAAACAGUUAAGAUCUAAAACAAUAAAUAAAAUACUGCUUGAAAAAGGAAAAAAAUUAAAUACUUAAAAACUAUCUUUUAAGUAAAAACAAAAAACAUAUUUUUUUUUUAUAAUAUAGCUGUGAAUUGAAUGUUAUCACUUAAAUGGUAAAGAAAAUAUAAAAAUAAAGCAAAUGGUAAAGAAUAUCCGCCAUUAUUACUUGUUAAAGUUAAUCAUAGUGAGUUAUAUACUAACUAGGUCGGGAGACCGAAAGAUCGUGAAUAUUGAAAGUUGAAAUAAUAUAAAUAAAUAAUAGAAUAAAAUAAUACUGUAUCAAAGUCUAUUAGAUAUAAAAUAUUAAAAAUAUAUUUAAUAAUUGUAAAGUGUGGAAAGUUAAAGCUCAACAAUAAUCACUAUAAAUAAGUGAUUUAUGUAACGAUAAGUAAAAUGUUCUUUUAUCUGAUAAUCAAACAAAUUGAUUAUAACUUUAUCAUUAGAACUUCUUACCGUACACACAUCCGAGAGAAGAAGAAACCCAAACACACGUAACAAAGUUCAAACUAACUAAUGCAGUAACCAAAAGUUCAAAUUAUUUGUGAGAAACCGGUGAAAAUAAAAGAAGUUAAUUGUUUCUAAGUCUUUUUGUAAGAAUAAGUUGUUCAUAAAAAUUGUUUUAAAUUAAAAUAUUGCUUAAUAAAAUUUACUAUUGGAUUAUACUGCAUAAAAUUGUUCAUAUACAACAAAUUAUUGCUUUAAAUUUUUUACACUGUAAAGGAAGAAUAUUAAUGAAAAUAAUAUUUUAGUAUUACUAUGUGUGUUAAUUAUUAAAUUCAUGAAACUAAAUUAAUUAAACAUUUGCUACUUCAUAUCUCAAAGCAGUUAUUAAAUAACGUAAAGUUUAUUAAGUAAACUACAUAAAAGUUAAUUGUUAUUAUUAAAUUUAGUUAAAUCAUGAUACAAUUAAAAAUGAUAAUAUUAAAAAUAGUUAAAACUAUUAAAUAUUUACCUUUUAUAAUCUAAAAUGUACGUUAUAAGAACCUGUCUUAAUCAUGUUUUCUCUUUAGGUUUAAUUUCAAACGUAUUAUUCUCAACUUCGUACCCAUGUUAUACUGUUUGAGACAAAAAUAAUUUGUAUACUAUUUUUUCUAAUAAUUAUUGAUUUUUCACAAAAUAUUAUUUUACGAACCCAACUAAAUAUAAAUUUUAUUUUAGUAUUAAAAAAUUCUGUGUAAGAGCUAAAAAAAAUAUCAUAUUAAAGUAAAAUUAUGUUUUAUCCUUAUUUAUUUUAGCUGAUUCUUUGAAAUUAGAAGGUCUCACCCUGAUCUUUUAUUAAUUAUAUUAUUGUGUUGAUAAUAUAAAUUUUACAGUAAUAAUAUUAUUUUUAACAAACAUCAAUAUUUGAUGUGACAUUUAAUCUGACAGAUUCAGAUGAAGAAUAAAAAGCAUGCAAAAAUGAAAAAGAAAAAGAUAAAAAAAAAAUUCAUAUUUUAAUCGAUUUAAAAAUAUUCAGAAAAAAAAGAACGGACUAUAAAACGAAGUUACAGGGACAGUGCUUGUGCCGAACACUACACUAAGGCUCUGUUUGGAUUGCGACGUCACACUCCGUAAUUCAGUUGCAUUUUGAAGGCUUUCAGGUUCGCACCAAUGGCAGCCACCGAACACAGACUAAGCCUGGACGCUGAAAAACAGAGCCUUCUCAAUCUCCACACCGAGAACCACUUCACCGCCGGCGAAGUCGUCCGCGACAUCAUCAUCGGCGUUUCCGACGGCCUCACCGUCCCCUUCGCUCUCGCCGCCGGCCUCUCCGGCACCAAUGCCACCUCCGCCGUCGUCCUCACUGCCGGCAUAGCUGAAGUCGCCGCCGGCGCCAUCUCCAUGGGUCUCGGCGGGUACGUUUCACCAAACUCUCCACACUCAAAACUCUCAAGUGUCGUUUGAGAUUCCUCAGAAAAUUUUGUUCGUCGCAUUGUGCAGUUAUUUGGCAGCGAAAAGUGAAGCCGAUCACUACGCCAGAGAAUUGAAAAGGGAGCAAGAAGAAAUCAUCGCCGUUCCAGAAACUGGUUUUUUUUUUUUUUAAUUAUAUUAUAUUUUUUAUAUAUAUUCUAUAUUUUAUAAUAGAUAUAUAAACGUAUACGUUUAAUUAAUGUUACGGUUGAAUUUUAUAUUCGAAAUUUCAUAAAAUUUCAAAAAGUAUUUAAAAUUUAUCAUGUAACUAUGCAGAUAUUGUUUUUUAAAUAAUAUAUAGAAAACUCAGUAUGCAUAAUCAUAAUCAUUUAAGUAACAUCAUCAAAUUCAACAAUUUAAUUGAUUAAUUUUACAAUAUAUAAAAAUAUAAAUGUAGUAAUGCACGUGGUGAUAAAUGUGGGGGGUUUUGUGAAAAAACAGAAGCAGCAGAGGUAGCAGAAAUACUAGCUGAGUAUGGAGUAGAGGCACAUGAAUAUACACACCUGUGGUGAAUGCUCUCAGAAAAAACCCUCAAGCAUGGCUUGAUUUCAUGAUGAAGUAAGUUUUUUUUUUAUAAAAAAAUUUAUAUUAUAUAUUAUGAAAUUUGACAUCUUAGUUAGACUGAUAUCUUAAAUGAUAAUCAUCUGCCAUCACAUGAAAAAAUAUUAUUAAAAAAAUAUAUAAAAGAAUUAAACCAAAAUUCAUAUAUUAAAAAAGAAAAGAUAAAUAAUUUAUAUCUGAUAAGAAAUUCUAAUAAUAAAUUAGAUAGAAGCUUAUUAGAUUUUGACUUGAAUGUGGGAAUGGUUAUUGGGUCAAAAAUUUGAUGAAAACAGGAGUGGGGGAAUUCUUUUUGCACCCAAAUAAUUUCCUUCUGCACUCUAUAAACAUGAUUUCUUCACAAAAAGUAGAUAAUUUGAUUUCUAUAAUGUUAGUCAGGAUGGUACUAAAAAUGAUUUAUUCACAAAAAUGUUAAAGUAUAUUCUUCCAAAGCAAAUUUUGUAGUUAUUGCAUUUUAUGGACAAAGACAAUAGAAAGAUUAUUGUUUAUUGUUUAUAGAGACAAAGAUUUCCAAAUGUUAGAUUGUUUUUAAAUGUAUCAUUGUACAUUGGAAAUGUUAGUGUUGAAGAAUUGAAGUGGUUGUAACAGGUUUGAGCUGGGACUAGAGAAGCCAGAUCCAAGGAGAGCAUUGCACAGUGCAAUGACAAUUGCGAGUGCUUAUGUAAUAGGUGGUCUUGUUCCUCUUGCUCCUUACAUCUUCAUUCCGAAAGCAUCAGAAGCAGUUCUGUUCUCAGUUGUGGUUACCAUGUUUGCACUGCUGCUUUUUGGUUAUGCCAAGGGUCACUUCACUGGCAAUAAACCCUUCAGGAGUGCUUUGGAAACAGCUCUCAUCGGUGCCAUUGCUUCUGCAGCAGCUUUUGGUAUGGCAAAGGCUUUCAAUCCAUAGAUGCCAACCAAGUUUCUUCCAACAACUUUUCUUUCUUCAGCUCCUCUGUGCUAUUAUCUGUUACUUUUUUUUACCUUUUUCUGCCUUACAUUCCAUGCAAACACAACCUCUUUUGUUGUGUUUUGGUGUGAAAGUAUCUCCUUGCAUCUCAUUUCUCUCUCUUAGGUGUAUAAUUGAAUAUUCCUCUCUGUUCAACAACAUAUCCUGUUUUUAAAUUGAAUGAGUUAAAUAUUAGAUGUUAUAUUGUUGCCUCUGGCAUAACCAUCACGUGUAAGCAUCUCCUCUUCCUCUUUCAAUAGUUCAUGUUGUUGUUUCAAAGGGUAAUGACAUAUUGGUUCUAGUUAUCAGAAUUGAUUUAACUAAAUCAAAACUAAUUCUUUCUUUUCGACAUACAUGAAAAAAAAAAAUAUUCGUGGAAGUAAUAGAAAAAAUAGAAUAAUGAUAUUGAUUUUUUUUUUUAAUUUGGAUAAACAUGUUCAAUUUUAAAAGUAAAAAUAUAUGAAAUCUAUAAAAAAAAAAAAUUCACUACAAGAGUACGAUUACAAUAUUUGUUCUUUUCAACUUAUAAACAUAACAGUUAAUCUCAUCCAACAAGAAUGAAUGAAAUAUCAUGUUUCUCUAAUUUCUCACUAGAAUUUAUAAUCUCACACUAUGAUGGAUAUCAUUAUCUAUUUUACUCUCUAUUGCUCUUUCCAGUUGAUUGUCAUUCUCUUCCUCACAAGUUCAUUUUAUAUAGAGAAUGAUAGAAAGAGUUUUUCAUAAAAAUAUAAUAAAUAAUUAAUGUUUGUCACAUUUUCAAAAUACCUUGAAAAUACUAUCUUCAACUUUCUAGAUUAAACUUCAUAGUAUUCAAGAAAGAUAUAAUUUCAAGACUUUGAAAUAUCAUUGAAAAUAUUCAACGGACCAAUUUUCAAGAUUAAUUGAUCACCCAUUAAAUUAAUAAUGAAUUUUCAACAUUACCUAACUCAUUCUAAACACCAUAUUUUGUCAUUGUUGUGUUUAUUAUUUAAUUUCAAUCACUUUUCAGCUAUUUAAUUUAAAGCGAUUUGCAGGUAGACAAACAUAUGAUAACUUUAUCUCAAUGACGAAUUCAAAACAAAUAUAUCAGUAAAAUUGAACCAAUUCAUUUCAAUCAGAUAUAGAGUAGAGAGGACUGAACACAGUCUUGAAGAAACCAGCAUUGUGGUUAUUCGGAUUGAUCCUUAAAAUGUGAUGUUGGGUUCCAAACAAACCUUGUUGCUAUCUAUGCACAUAAAUACAAUCUCCAUUGUUCAGUAGAAGUCGUGUUACUCUCUCAUUACUUUAAGGAAUAAAUUAUCAAUUUCUUUUUCCACCCAUAUUUAAAAAACUUAGCAUUAGUGUUAUAUUCCCAAUCAAGAACCAUGACUAACUUCUCUUAACAGAUCCAUAAACACACUCAUCAUGAACCAAAUCCUUAAACACAUACUUAAGGGAUAUGAUUCUGUGCCAACCAUAAGAUAUCUGUAUUUUAGUUUACACAAUAUUAUGUUUUCUCACAAACACAAACGUUGAGUGACAUAAAAAAGUUAAAUUUAUUAUUCAUAAACAUGUGAUUGCAAGAAUAAAAUCCAAAGUCUACGUGUAUAAAAAAUUCUAUUUGAAGAAAUGAACUCUUUUAUUCAAGAAUGUUUAAAAACUUUUAGUGGCUAUCUACUAACUUCAUUAGUAGCCAUGUUAAUAGACAAUUAGUUUGAUAACAAACCAUUUAUAGCUGUUUAAAAUCCAUAAAAAACUUGCAUUGCAUAACAAACCAUUUUUUUUACCAAUAAAAUGUGAAUUUUAAUUUAAAAAAUGUGACAUUGGAGAACCACCCCAAGAUGAUAAUCUAACUUAGUCACCCUAAAACACUCAAAGAUGAAUUUGAUUAACCAUUCCAUCCAUCAAACACAAGAUAAGACGUAUCAAUCACAAUGAAAAUUCAACAACCGAUAAAUUUGAAGUUCAUUAAACUGGUUGAGUGGUCCACAUGGUAGUGCUAGUUAGAUUAGGAAAAAGAAAGACAAAUAAAUAUAUGAACUCACCAUUCUUCACUCUCCAUUCUUCACUCACCAUUCUUCACUUGCACAAGCUUGAGAGUACCCCAAUAUUUGUGCCUUAUGACCCAUGAUCAUAUCAAAAUCAGGUGGAGUUAGAUUAUGGGGUUCUGUUUGGUGUUUGUUUGUUCAUCAAUAGAUAUUAAGUUUGAGACUAAAUAUAUUUAACAUAAUAUCUUUUACACUCAAACUUCUAAGAUUUUGUGUAUGUUAUCAAUUUCUUAAAUCCCUAACAAAAUGACAUACUAUAAAAAUAAAUUAAAACAACAUUAAUUUUAUUAUUAACUUUUGAAAAACAAUGUAACUUUAACUGUGUUAUUUUUUCUUACAAUUUUAUGAAAUAUCACUUUCUUUCAUAAAUUUAAUGGACUGAUAAAAAUAUGUAAAAAAUGAAAAGUUUGAUAAUAAAAUGUAUAAAAAAAAUUGGGCCAUAAAAUUUACAAAAUGAAAUAGUAGACAAGUAGUAAAAUAUUAAUUAGUCGUUUAAACAACUUCGAACACAAAUCUUAGGAUUUUAAACCACCACCAAAGCAAAUAUUUGUCUCGAGUAUGGAUACAAUGGAGUUAGGGAGACCGAAUCCAUGGUGUUUCUAAACAUACGAUAGCUAAAAAAAUUUAUUAAAUAAUAAUUAAAUUUAGAGAUAAAAAUAAUUAGUCACCAUAUUGAUUAAAAUAGAUACUAAUUUAAAAACUAAAAAAAUUAUUGGUAUCUAAAUUGAUUUUUAUUAUUAAUAAAAAUUUAUAAAUAACUUUUGAAUUGGUAUCUAAAUUUUCUAACUAGGUUUUAGCUACUAAUAUUUUAAAUUUUAAAUUAAUUUUUAAAAGACUAAUACAUAAUAAUUUAGAAUAUAAAAUAAUAAGUAACUAAAACUUUGGUAACUGAUGGUUAGAUAUUAAUUUAAAACCUAUUUUAUAAAUUUUUAUUAAUAAUAAAAACUACUUUAUAUACUAAUAAUUUUUUAGUUUAUAGAAUAAUUUUUACUAAAAAAACAUUAAAUAAAAAUUAAUUUUAGAGAUUUAAAUAAUUAAAUUUAACCGAAAAUGUAAAGAACACCCUAAAGACAUUAUGCAAUUAAAGAUGAAGAGAGACAAUUCAAUUUAACAAAAGGCACUUACGGUGCAAAAAAUGAAAAUAAGUAACAACUAACAACAAAGCUUAAAAGGUCUUUUUUCUAGCAAAGUUCUUAGAGAAAACUUAGUUGGUAUGAAGCAGAAAGCAUGGAGAAUCUAUGGAUGGAAAGCCUUUGCCAAACCAAAAGCAGCUGCAGAGGCGAUGGCACCGAUGAGAGCUGUUUCCAAAGCACUUCUGAAUGGUUUAUUGCCAGUGAAAUGGCCCUUGGCAUAACCAAAAACCAGCAAUGCAAACAAGGUAACCACAACUGAGAACACAACUGCUUCUGAUGCCCUUGGGAUGAACACGUAAGGAAGAAGAGGAACAACUCCUCCCAAUAUGUAAGCGAUGGCAAUUGUCAUUGCACUGUGCAAUGCUCUCCUUGGAUCUGGCUUCUCUAGUCCCAGCUCAAACCUAAAACAACCACUUCAAUUCUUCAAUACUAAGAUUCCAAUGUUUUUUUUAUAAAAAAAAUAAAAUAUAAAUCACAAAUUAUCGAACACUCAUAAAAAAAAUAAUUCUUAUCAAACAGAUUCAAAUAACUAAUAAACACACUAAACUCAUACAUCUACUAUAAUGCUAAUAGCAAUGUAAUAUAUCAAGUAACCAAUCUCAUAAAAACCAAGUCACACCAGUCAAAAUAAGAGAAAGAAACAUAGUGUUAUUCUCUAGUCCCAGCUCAAAUCUGUAAUACCAACAUUACAACCAGUUAAUCUGUUUGAUACUAACAUUGUCAAAGUCACCGUUGAACAUAGGUCAGUGUUUAUCCGUACUAAGAAUGAUACAUUUGGAAAAAAAAAAAACAGGUGUAUAUAAACUGCAUGCAUGUUUCAGAAAUUUCUUCAUGUGUUCUUUUUUUUUCUCCCCAAUACUGGGCUGAAUGCAUAUAUGCAGCAUAUUUCUCUAUAUGGGAAAAAGAAGUUGCUAUUUUUAAAAUUAAAACGAUUUUUUUAAUUGAUGCAAUUUUAUCUAAAUUUACUGAAAUUGAAAAUUUAACACAAAUAAUAAAUAAGUAAGUUGUGUCAACCUAAGACGACGAAUUUAGUGUGAAGAGUAAACUUCCAGUUUUGUAAAACUAAAAUCGUGUCAACUUACAUUAUUUUAUUAUAAAAAUAUUUUAAAUACAUUACUUUAAUUAAUAUUAAUCAAUUUUUGUAAUUUUUUUAUUUUAAAUGAAAUUAUAUAUGAUAAGGUGGGACUUCAGUUCAUAUAAAAUUACACUAAAUCAUUCUAAUUGUUCUAAUAAUAAAGUUGAGUACUUGAUCUUAUAUUUUUAAUAAUUUUACAUUUUAUAAAUAAUAUUUUUAAAACAAAAAAUUAUGUCAAAUUCACACAAUUUCACUUUCACAUAACCAAACUAUACACUACAACUUAACCAUGUGAAUAAUUUUUUUCAAUCUGAUCACUUUGAUAAAUCUUUGACAAAAAUUGCACCAUUAAAAAAAAUAAACCCUACUAUUUUGCUAUUACAAAUUAUAUAAAUAGUAAACACAAUCAUUAUAGAGUCAGGUUUUCUUGUUCUGUACAUAGAUAUUGAGUGGAACUUUUUCAAAAUCAUACCGAAUUAGUUCUUUAAAUGGUUGUAAACAGAAUGAUAUUGUGCCAUAAUAUUUUUUCUAUAAAAGUCAUAACCAGACACUCAACACUGAGUGUAUUACUGCAUCUUGCUUUAGAGGAAUACCUUUUAAAAAAUAUGAAGAAUUCAAGCAUAGUUUUAACCAACGUCAUAGAAUGGUUAAUUGGGUUAAGCUAGAGAACCCGGUUGCAUAAUCAAAAUAUUACAUUAAUGAUAAAUCUGUUCCUUUGUACAACCUGUAAUUUAUGAUAUGAUAUUUUUGUCAUUUCACAUAAAAAAAAUAAAAUUUUAGACUAAUAAAUAAAUGAAGUUGUAGAGAAAUACAAGUUUUCAAUACUUCCCGAUAAAAUCAGAAAAAGAUGCCCAUGUUGCAGUGAGUGAGUAGGUCCCGACAAGACUGUCCCCUUUUUCCUAGUUUCCACAUUCCAAUCCGAGUAGAAACAUGCCAGCUAAAUGGAAGGGGGAACCCUUAAUUUUGUCCACAACUAAAUGGCGUGUGCUGAAAUUUUUGAUCCGAUAACCAUGCCCACAUUCAAAAAGUGAAAGGUUACUUUGCUUUAUAUUCCUAUGGGUGGUGCUACUUUUCAACUUGACUACAAAUUCCCAUUAUUGUGUGGUUAUCAAUUACCAUUUAACUUAUUCUCAUACCACAUUCACUAUAUAAUAGUCCAUCAUAAACCCCAAAAUUUGCACAUUUUCUAUUUGCAAGACAGGCAAAAAAACAUGUGAAACUGUGUAAUAAU
rnacentral:lncRNA from 1 species